GGCUAAUCUUUUCUAAGCCUUUACUUUCAUUACAUCUCAACUACCUCUUCAGAGGCGAAUUCUGGCACUAAGUUUAUUUAGUCCAAUUUAUAUGGUUGACAACACAAUAUAUUUUGAAUUGGGUUUUAAGUUGCACGAUAUCAUCCGAAGUGAAAUCAAAAUUGGGGUGUGGUACAAAAGGACAAAACAUGGUCGAAACUUGACCAGACAAACUACUUUCAGGUCUCAUUUAUUUGCACUUAUUGGAUUUAUGAACCUGUUCAAACCUCAAACCAUUAAGUGCACUUGUUUUUAUUAGGAUUUUAGCUCUUAAUAGGCCUGAGUAGGUCUUAAUCAUUCAGAUGUGGAACCAAGACUAAAUAUCAUUUACAGAUAUUCUUGGGUAGGAAAAAAUUCACCACCACUCUAUCCACAAUCACCUGUCACCACCACCAACCACUUCCACCAUCACAACCAACAUCACUACCAACUACACUGCUAGCCGCUACCACACCUACCACUUCCAUUAUUCUAAUUAUAUCCACCGCCAACUAGGGGUGUUCACGGUUUGGUUUUUAACCAAACUGAACCGCGAUCCAAACCAAAUUGAUUAAGAAAACCUAUAUUUGGUUAGGUUUGGUUUGGAUUUGAAUUUUAAAAAAUCGAUACUAAUUUGGUUUAGUUUGGUUUGGUUUUACUCUAAAAUAACCAAACCGAACCGAUAUACAUAGAUAUUAUAAUUAUUUAUAUGUUUUUCAUAAAUGUAAUCUAAAUAUUUGUUGCAUUUUAUAUUUUAAUCAUGAUUUAACUUUAGUCGUAACACAUUCAUUCAUAUGUCUUCAUCUAGUUGACAAUACAUUAUGAAAUUCUAAAUGAAUUUCAUAUUUUGAAUGACAAAUGAUACUAAUUGUGAAAAUAAUAUCUUGUUAUAUAUUGAAAUUUACUGCUGAAAUUCAUUAGAUUAUACACAAUCACUAAUUUUAACUUUCUUUUGAACCUUGUUGAGCAAGAAGUUUAUGUGUUCACCUUUUGGGGGUAUAUCAUAUCAUUCUAUUAAAUAUAGUUUUUAAAUAUUUUUCUAAAAGCGUUCAUAUGGUGUUAUCAUGGCUUUGCCGAAGUAUAACACUCAAUUGACAUCAUAGUUUCAAGAUUGAGCUACAACACUCGGUUGACAUCUCAUAUGUUAGAUUGGAUUUGUUUUUUUAAAAUUUUCAACUUUUAUCAUUAACUAAAGUUAUAAACCAAAAAACCCGAAUCAAACCGAACUAAACCAACAAGAACCAAACCGAUGGUUAUUUUUUUUUUUUUGGUUUGGUUUGGUUUUAGAAAUUUAAAAACCAAUUAAGUUGGUUUGGUUAUGGUUUUGACCAAUAACCGACCCAUAUCGACCCAUAAAUACCCCUACCGCCAACGCCGCCACCAUCAACUCCUACCAGUCGACCCCUACUACCAACCAACUCAUCUAUCAGAACUAGCACUACCACUAAUAACCACCAACACAUCAUCAACUUCCACACAUCGCUAACAACCACUAACACAUCAUCAACUUCCACACAUUCUGCGAACACCAUCACCACCACUGUCACCAGCAUCACCACCUCUACCACCACCAUCCGCUACACUCGCUACAGUAUCUAUACUAACAACCAUUCCACCAUCACAGCUAACAGCGUCUCCAACGACCACCAACACAUCAUCAACCAUCAUGCAUACAGUUUUCCGUCACCACGAUCAACACCUCCAACUACUAACAUUAACCAACUUCACAUCACAACCACCACCACCACUACCAAUCGCCAAUAUCAUGAUAGUUACUACAAUGCCAACUAUCUCUACUAUCACAACUAUCAACACCAACGUUGCUAAUCACUAACAUCAAUUAAUUUAUUAGAACAACCACCACCAUUAAAAACCAUCUCCACUAUCACUAACAAACAUAAAUGUUUCUUUUUUUCAUCAAAUAAUAAUAUAAUUGCAUUAAAUUUAAAAAAAUUCUAAUAUAUAAUUAUAUUAUAUUUAGAAAUAAAUAAAUUUUGCACAUUCAGAUAUUGAGAAACACUCAACCUUAAUCAUUUAGUUUUCAGAUCUAGAGACAAUAUCUUAAUCAUUCAGAUGUACAUUCAAAAUUAUUCAAAUAUCUGAAUAUUAAUAAAAACAAAUGCAGUCUUAGCUGAAACACAAUGGUGUGGUUGUGUGAUACUUUAAAGGAGUCCUCGAAAGUCAAAGAAACUACGUGAAAACAUGGAAGUUUGAUGAUCACUUCUCAGAGUUGUUCUGAUCGAGAAACUAUAACAAUUAAGGAAAUAUAACCAUUAACAGCAUUCAAUGGAGGAGAAGUCAAUUACAAUUAUCCGUGAAGUAGAAUUUAAUACAGCUUGACUAUAUUGAAAGAAUCAUCUAUAUCUAUACUACAUUAAAAGCAUGGAACCCCUAACUUAAAAGUUUACGACAAUACCAUUCCUGUCAGCCUAAUUACCUACUAUCUAGUAAAAAAAAAAGAGGAAACUAAUUGGCAUAAAGAGAAACAAUGCAGAUGUUUAAUAGGAACAACCGGUCAUUGUUUUUAUCUGAACAAAAUAUGUGUUAUUUAAAAAAAAAAAAAGCAAGUAGAGGGGUAACUCUCAAAUCUCAAUCUCAUGCUUUUAUCCUACCAAGUAUGUUCUAUUUUUUAAUGCACUACAACAACAACAACAAACCCAGUAUAUUCCCACAUAGUAAUGCACUAACUUCCCUUUUUACCUAAUGAAUUGAACUUUUUAGUGAGAAUCUAAAUGAUUUUCAAACUUUGUUUAACAUCUGAUUCAUUAAGAUGUAUUAACAGGUUGAGUCUUUAAAAAAAACACUUAAUGGGUUGAUAUCUUAACCAUUCAAAUUCAGACCUUCAUUAAGUGAAAGCAAAUGAAAAGGGAUUGUAGUGUAAAGUCUAUAAAUAUGGCUUAGUGUAACAAAUGCAGUUGACACAAUUCAAUACUCCUAUUAGCAACCUAUUUCACCUGUUUCUCCAGCUCAUCCAUAACAUCUGUAAAUAAGUCUUUUGUUGUUGAUCCUGAAGUAUUUGAUGAGACAGCUAGAUAUGCAGCAAAAUCUUUAAUCUACAAACACAAAAUAAAGAAGGAAAUUAUUGGAAAAAAAAUUUAAAAAGACGAAAAGGGAACUCAUGAAGGUAAUCACUUACUGAACACAAGAAAGAAAAACUAACUUUGAUGCAAUAAUCACGCCAGUUAAUUUUUGCAUUAAGUAUUCCCGCAGGAACAUGCUCUUCCAUCAGUUUUUGAAACUCAUCACGAUUUUUACGUUCAGCUUUCCUCAAUUUUUCCUAUAUGAAUCAACAGUGUAUGCCCGGUGAGAAAGAGAUAAAUCAAAGUCUCCAAACAUAAAUUUAAUUUUAACCCCCGAGUCUAACAAGCAAUAUACCAUCCGCCAUUUCCUUUGCUCCUCCUCUUCGCUCUCUAAAUCACGUAUGUAUUCCUAAAACAGAAAAGGUUGCAACAUAACUUUAAAACUGAGGCGUACAAAUGAGAUGUUUGGAGAAAGUUAUUUAUGAUGUAUUAGAAAAAUGAGUAGUACCUGGAAAAUCUCCAAGCGUUCGAUUCUCUCAAGGCGGGAGCAUCUUUCAUCAGUUUCAAAGCAGUCCUGAACUUUCCGCCACUGGCUACUGGCCUGAACAAAAGAAGUCAGCAACAAUAGAACUAUGAAAGUUCUAUCUCCUGGAAAUAGAAAAAAAUAAUCUAGGAACUAAUGCUAAAUCCACUAGAACAAAUACCAUAAUAAAGUCACAAGAUUUUAAAAAUUCUAAGUACUCCACUCUAUUGCACUUCUGCUCCUCUAAUGCCUUCGCAUGCUCCUAAUAAAAUCCAGUACAAAGUAAAAAAAAAAAAAAAUUUCUCUAUAAAGAAGACAAUAUUUAAAAAGUGACUUUGACUACACUUGCAUGAAUGUAUUGAAAAACUUUUUCUAUUUUACGACGGAGGGGGGAGAGGAAGAAGCAUACCAUAGUUUCAAGUUUCAAGAAAAAUUACAUACAAUACAUGGAAGUCUGUUUAAAUUGGAAUUCAAUGGUGAACAAAUUUAAAUGUUAUACCUUUGAGAAGCCAUUAAAAAUGUAUUCAAAGAACACAAGAUUUUAAGUUGAAUAUCUACAACAUUCCUUCUUUCUACUCUUUAAGCAAAACAAAAAAAGGGAACAAACUAAAUGACAUCCUAUAAAGGAAAGGAGUGGAAUGACUGUUGUUAAUCAAGUGGACCAGCGUCUAACUCAACUUUAAAAACUAGGUCAGGUGGUGAAGAUUGUCCAAGAUCAUAUAAGGAAACUACAGUACAUACACCUUACUAGUGUGGGAUUCUCAUACAUUAAUCCCACACCAUGACUAGACAUUUGUAGCAUCAGUUAACCUAGGUUGGCUAACAUCUAAUAGUCUAACAUUAAUAUAGAUCUACCUCUAAUACCAUGUUUAAGAAAUUGGACCUUGUUUCUAUCUCAAAUGAAAGGCUAACUUAAUUUGUGAGGAGCCAAAGACCAUAUAAGGAAACUACAGUCCGCACACUUAGUUUUUAACAUAUAGAAGCUUACAAGAAAGUUCUGCAAAAGGAGCUUCACCUUUUUCUCAAGUUCCUCCACAUAAUCUUCAAAAAGGUCCUCACGGUCUUUAGCUUGCUCAACAGCUUUAAAACGUUCAUCAUGUUCGAAUAUAGAGAUUGCCUUACUGAAUAAUCAAUAGCAAAUAGUUAGUGGAUCAAAUGGAACUUACACAAGUAAUGGAUCAACUUCAAGGUACCAAACACAUACAAACAAUGACCAAGAUUAGAAAACAAGAAGCAGACAACUUAACAUUACAAGUGAAAGACAAACCUCCAUCUUGACGAUGGUGAUAGCUCCUUGCAAUCCUGUAAGAUUGAGAACAACGGACAUUGUUGUGAAAAAUACCACUUAUUCUUUUGAACAGGUCAAAUACCAGUCUCUAACACAUCAUGAAUAUUAUGAUAAUAUCUUUUUAUUUUUGAAACUGGUAAUGUGAAUAUCACGAUAUAUCAAAUGAAAGACACCACAAAAGAAAAUUUCACUUACUUCUAACAUUAUCCUGAAAUCUUCCCAAGCUUUUUUCUGCUUAACACGCCUCUCUUCAGCUUCCAGUGUUUUCUUUUGGCUCAGAUACUGAUACUGGAACAGACACACAACUUCAAAAUGAUCACUAUAGACCUUGGGUGUGUUUGAUAUGAAGGAAAAUGUUUUCCUAGAAAACAAGUUGGUUUCUUACUUGUUUUCUUAUGUUUGGUUGAUGAAAGGAAAACAUUUUUCAGAAAAUGUUUUCUAGUGUUUGGUUGGUGAAUAAAAAAAUAUUUUUCAAAAAAUACAUUUGAGAGUUGUAUAAACAUUUCAACUUAAGAGUGAGAUUGAAAGAGAGUUUUGGAAAAUGUUUUUCCUACUUUUUGAAGGGAAUUAAUUUUCCUUAUAUUUAAGGAAAAUAAGUUGAUUUGGAAAACAUUUUCCAAAAUAUUUAAGUCAACCGAACAUGAAACAAUUGUAUAUCAAACAAAAUCCAUCUUUUUGCAAUACGGUAUGCUGAAACAUUGAAGCAGCAAUUAACCCAUUCCAAUGCCGACAUGGAGAGAUACCUCAUUAAAAGCUUGCUUCCGCUCACAAAGGGAUUUUAGAGCACCAUAUCUCCAGUCAUUAAUUACUGAGCUCAUGCCUUGACAAAUACAAUUCAUGUCAAAUGAUCUCCCUCAAUUGUUUGGUACGCACAAAACAGUCAAGUAAUAAACCUGAUCCCACGUGCAAUCAGACCUAAUAUUUACAGAUUCCGGAAGAGUUUUGAAUGCACUCUUUGCCUCCUAAAUAAAUCAGAUACUUAAAAUAGAAAUAAGAGAAAUUUCGAGAACAUACAUUAAAUGGGACAAAAAGCAAUAAUCAACUAUACCGUUUUGCUCUUAUAAACUAAUGGUCCCAGCUCGACUAUUUUCUCAUCUGAUGGAGUAGCACCUCUAAUUUCAGUUACUGCAGCAUCUUUCUUGACAUUCUGCAUUUUAGGCACAACAUCAAGCGCAAAGGACAAAAGCAAACCUCAUUGGAAUUUCGAGCAUAUUCUUCACCUGUUAGCAGUUGACUAACAACUGCACUACAAAAUUGUUAGAUCAACAUCCAGCAUAACAGCUACGAAAAGCUUUCUUGGUGUUUUAACCAGUAACCAGUAGUAAUUAACUAAUCGCAUAAGUAUUUCAGAAGGACAAAGUACCUCUCCAUUCUUUGAAGAAAAUCCAUCACCAUACACUACUGCAUCUUGAGUUGUAGUAGUCUCAGAACUAUACAAAAAUUGAAUUCCAAAUAAGAAGCAACACAAACCAGAGGAAAAUUUAUAACAUACAAAUCUGAAAACAUACACCGGUGGCGCGACAGAAUUUCCCAAGGUUACUACUAUUCCAAUUUUCUCCGAAUUAGCAACAGCUGGCGAAUCAGGUUCUGAAGAAUUCUUCAUUUCGACAGUUUCAAUCAUUGGAGAAGAAACCUUACCAAAUAAACUUGAUGAUUCUGAAGCCAUAAUAGUUGGUAAGUUAGCAGCUGGUGACACAGCAAUUGGGCUUGAUUUAGCACCGUGUGCCGAGACUAAUGAACCAUCUGCACCCGGGGAUGAUGUUUUAAUAACAGAAAUAGAUCCAAAAUUAGAAGCGUGCGAAAUGGUGUCUUUUCACGAGCCAACUGUGAAUUUAUAAAUAAUUGAACUUUAUGAGAAUAGAGUAUCCAAGAAAACAGAAUAUUGCCCUUUCUUAUCAUGCUAGCAACUGUGAAUGCAUAAAGAUUUUAUGAGAACUAGAGCAUCCAAGAAAACAGAAUAUUUUCCCUUCUUAUCAUGAUAUUUAAAGCACAAAACACGGAAUAUUUUUCCUUCUUAUCAUGCUAUUUAAAGCACAGAACAAUCCCUUCUUAUCAUGCUAUUUAUAGAACGGAACAAACUCAUAUUGGAUAUAAAUAUAACAUCACCUUGACUUCAUCAGGCAUUAACCUUGUUGUAGUAAUACCUACAGAAAACAAACAAAGCAAUCAGCAUUAUGCACAAGUAACACACAAAAGUACCCACUGUAGAAGAACAAUUGGAAAGAGGCCAAGAAAAUAUAUAAGUUACACACUUUCUUCCCUCAGGACUUGUAAAUUCUCUCUAAUGAGUUGAUGCAUUUGUCCUCUGUCCCAAUGAAAAUAGCAUGAAAGUAGGUCAAGUCAAAAAACAGAACAUAAAUAGUACCCUGAGAGUAGAAAUCAGUCACUUCCAGCAGUACAAUACUUGAUGGAAGUGUUAAAAUAUGAAUGAUAUAAUGUCCCACAUGGAAAAGGACUAGAAUGUACUAUGUAGAAUAUAACUACAAGCAGGGUGGAAACAUUGCCAAGCUGCGGCUGAGCUACAGCUAUCCAAGGGUGAUCUUCUGUCGUUUCUGAGUAUUUUUAAUGAACACCCAUGCUACAAAAAACAAGACUGAGUGUGACAGUAAGGGUGUUCAAAUCCUGCACUAAGGUUCUAAGUUCCAUGCUCAACACAGCCCCCCAUAAUUUUUUUUCCAUUUGGACACGUUUGAAACUCAUAAACUACAGUUAUGCUUUUUUUCGAUGAAUCAAUUUCUGAACAUGUGUUUUUUGUCCCAAUUAGCUCUUGCAAAAGAGCUAGUAACUAGCAUGCCAUGUAUAAGAAUUUUGUUUAAAUAAACUUACAGGUAAAUUUAUAAAGUGGUUAUUAUACUAGCUAUCUUGCAUGGGGCAGAGUGUUUGGCUGGUCAAGAGCUCACAUGUUCGAAAGAUAAACGUAGCAGAAAUGAGGAUGUUGAGAUUGGUGUGUGGGCAUACUAGGAGAGAUAGAAUAAGGAACAGAGAUAUGCGAGAAAAAGUGGUAGUGCUCUUUGUGGUGGACAAUUGACAAGAAUACUAGAGGGUUGGGGAUAAAGAACCUAAAAAUUCAACAUAAGGCUCUCAUGAUGAAAUGGUUGUGGAAAUAUGCAAACAAUAACUAGCUGCUAUGGAGGAAAGUGAUUGGGGCUAAACAUCCUGAAGAAGAUAGAUGGAUGACAAAAGAAGUGACCACACCAUAUGGGAUUAGCCUCUAGAGAUCUAUUAGAUCUAUUAGACACUAGUGGAAUGAAGUUAAAAGCAACUCAAAGGUUAAAGUGAUGGAUGGAAACAAGACUAGGUUCUGGAAGGAUAAUUGACAUGAGGAUGGGAAUACGAAAGUGAUUUUUCCAGAUUCUACAACUUGGUAUUGUUUCGAUAGAGGACUAUAGCAGAAUUAUGGACACCACAUGGGUGGAACUUCAAUUUCAGAAGGCAACUUAAUGACCGGGAGGUAAUGAGAGUAGUUGAAUUGUUUAAUACCGUGGACUUAUUCAAUGGACUGCAGACAGUGAAGGACGUACUAUGGUGGAUGGGAAAUGAAAAACGAAUGUUCACUGUCAACAAAGCCUACAAGAUAAUGAACCAAAUAAAUAAAUCACCUGAAUCCAAGAUGGCCAUGGAAGCAAAUAUGGAAAAGUAGGAUACCUCACACAGUGUCGUGCUUUGUCUUUGUCUGGUUACUGACCAAGGAAGUAGUUCUUACACAAGAUAAGGUCAUGAAGAAAGGGAAAACCUUGUGCUCCAGAUGUUUCCCCUGUGGAGAAACUUUAGAGACGGUUAACCAUGUAUUUCUACAUUGUAAGUACACCCAACAACUUUGGAGAAUCGUCUUAAGACUAAAAGGAAUUUCCAUGACAAUGCCUAGGAAAGUAUCCGAGACUUUAAUGUGCUGGGAGAAGUAGGUAUACAUGCGAAGGACAAAAGUAGAUGGAGAAUUAUCCCUGGUGCUACAUGGUGGGCUAUAUGGAAAGAAAGGAAUUCUAGAUGUUUUGAGAGCAUAGAGAAUAGUGUGUAGAAGGUUAAACUCAACUAUAUUUUGCUUUUAUGUUUUUGGUGUAAUCAACUAUACUCUAAUGAUACUGCCUCGAUAAUUGAUGUUCUAGACUAAAUUUAGAUAUAGAACAGUCGAUUUAGGAGUACUCUUGUAUAUAAAGGUUUCAGUACAACCCAUGUACUGUGUGAUAUAAUACAAAGUUACCAAGUUCAAAAAAAAAAAAGAUAAUAAUUUUUAAAGUACUAAAAGUUUAUAAAAUAACAAAUAAAGCAAUUAAAUCUGAGUUCAAAUUGGGUGGGUUGGGUUAUGACCCGCAUUUUAGAGCAUUUCAAUCCAACCCAUUUCAGUCCAAGUAGCUUUAGGGUGGGUUAAUAACCCACCCAUUUAUUAACUCAGACCUCUUUGAUCCAGCCAACCCCGCCCAUUUGACACCUUUAGUUUAAUAGAAGUAAAGUGGAGCAUGCUAGAACACAUACCAGAUCUAUUGAGUUGAAGUAAAGUGGACUAUCAAAGGACACACAACAAUCUGUUGAGCUGUUGGAUUAGAGGGGAUUAGCAAGAGUUAGAAGAAAUGGGGGAGAACAAUCCUUCCUUAUAUUUGGUGGACUGUAUGGAGCAAGAAAAUUUGAAGGUAUUUUGAAGAUAAAUAUAAUUCAAUUCAGAAAGUUAAAUGGAAUAGCAUUGUAGAUUUUUGUUUUUUGUUUAAGGGACAAUGUGUAUAGGAUACCUAACAGGUAGUAGAUCUCUUCAAAUCCUCGCAUUAUUUUCAUUAUUUUUCAUUUCUUUUGGACUGCUAGCAUAACCUUAACGCUAACUUAUACAAAGUAAUAUCUCCAAAAAAAAACUGUUUAUCUCAAAAAGAAAAGAAUAAAAAUGCUCAAACUUCCUUACAACUCCAGUUGUUGGUUCCUUAAUACUUGUCCCUCACAACCAACCAAACUUUCUUUGAUAACCGUCGUGUUUGGGCCAGCUUGCACCUUGACUAGUUACACCAGGUACUGCUACCUCCCACCAGCACAGAUACUGGGUAACUCUGUCGAUCAAGGCUUGGACAGAUGGUAAGAAAUCACCUAGUGUUUUUAUCUCUGUUGGAAAUUAAACCUGAGACCUCAUGGUUCUCAAUCUACUUCAUUAACCAUUAGGUCACACUCUUGGGUGCAAGUGUGCAACUAGCAAAAUUAUUAUUCUAUAAACUAGAAUGAGAAGUGUGGACCACAAUAUUAUAUCAAGUUUCCUCUCUCCAUAUCGCCAUAGAGUUACAAUAACAUUACAUCAAUCAGGAAGUAAAUAAAAUUAUUUAAAAUAGACCAAAUAUAAUCCUUCCGUGUAUGCUUAAACACAUUUUUUCAGAACAAUAGUGUUAAAUAUAAAAUAUUUUAGAACUAUAUUGGAAAUAAAAGGUCAAUGUAAAUCCCAAAUGAAGCCUACAUAGUAUAGUAAGAUCAAGGAAAUCUGCUCGCUAAACAAACAUUCAACAGAAAUCACAUAUACUUAGGAAAGAAAAAGUGGUUCUACGAAGCUUCAUAGAAAAAGAAUUGUGUACUUCUUUUUUCAUUGAUAAGCACAGGAAACUGGAUAAAACUACCCAUAAAAAUCUCGAUGAAACGAGACCUCACCUCCAUUUCUGUCAUCAGCUCUCAAGGUUUCUCCCAGGUAGAGAUUCUUGUUCUUCUAUUAUAAUAGUAUCUAAAAAUCAAUUAAAGAAUUGUAAGAAUGUUAUUAAUUGGUUGGAGUAAUAAAGCCAUAGGAAAUAUGACAACAUUAGCAACCAUAAUUGGCUUACUGUUCAUCAAAAGAUGCUGAAAGUAGCAAUACCUACUAGCAUUUAGCCACAUGUAAAAUAUGUAUGAUGAUAGAUAAAUAGGGUCAAAAUGAAGUUAUCGGUAGAGGUGUAUCAAGUUCUGCCGAUGAACAGUCAGGUAAAAUUUGGUAGCGGUGAACGGCAGCCCAUAUGAUUACUUUGACAAAGAGGACUGAAACAAAGGGGCCUUUUAUCUCCAGUGCUAAUGGAAGCAGAAUGAUGUACAAAGCACUAGAUGUGGAUACUUGAGGGAUUUCUUGGCAGUGAUGGGGGCCAACAUAUCCACCACUUGUUCAUAGACAAGACAUUAAGUGUUUCUGAUGCAGACAUUAAACUAUUCAUAUAAGUAACCUAUGUGAAUAUAAUCCAAAAGAAAGAAUUACGGAAAGCCAAAUCGGCAUGCUCUUUUUUCUGUCUGGAGAACACAAAGUGGUAAAAAGAUUGGAUCUGAAUGAAAAUGAUAUUUUUACAGAGCUUCUUUUCUUGUGUACCGCGGUUUUACACCUUUUUUGUUCACUGGAAUCUUAAUUUUCUUACUAAAAACUAUCAUAGAAUUCAAAUGUUGACUCUCUCAGUCAACACACACCCAUUAACUUAAGCAUGUUACUUGUUGACAAUAUUUAUGCAAAACGGGUACAAUAAAACACAUUGAAUUCUCACCAGAACAACCAAGGGAGCUGCUAAUUCUCCAGUCUUCUGCACAAUUGUCUCAGAAUUCACAUUAUGAUUACUUAUUGGCAUCCAGGGUUGUACCCCUGAUGGAAACCUAUGAUCAUUUAUCUGUGUCUGAUACUGGAAGCUAGAAGAAUCUGCAUUUACCUGCUGUUAAAGACGAUAACAAAAUGUAUUUCAUCAAUAUAUGAAUGGAACAUCGGAAACCAAUUGACAAUAACCACAAAAGAUCUUCCCAAGGCCUUACAUUAUAUGAAGAAGAAAGAGGUAAAUUUGGGUCACCAGAACCAGGCAUGUGGUUAUUUAACAUCGGAAGAUUUCCCUGAAAAUCAUGGGGAGUAGGUGGUCCCUGAGGCAUACUAUGCAUUCCUACUACAGGUCUACCAGUAACCUGUUGCAUAGGUUGAGGAAAUUGGAUUUGAGAAGGUUGAGACAUCGCAACAUUUGCAUGUCCAAGUGGAAAAAAUUGUUGAGAUGACUCGGAACCAUAAGGUUGUGCCUGCUGGGAUGGAAGCAUAGGCUGGAAUUGCUAAAGAUGUGGGGAAAAUAGUUAUCAUAAUGUCUCUGCAUUCAAAAGUCAUUUAUUCCUCCCCCAAGCCUCCACAACUUUACCUGCAGUGACAUGGAUGGAAUUGCACCAGGAGCAGGACCAGCCAGAGGAGGUAUAAGAGGCUUCUCAACCAAUAUCCAUGCAAGGAAGAACAGAUGAAAUCAGAAUAUAGCUACUUUUCAAUCAUAUUUAGAAAGCUUGAAUCCAUGCGCAACUCCCUAAAUUAAUUUGAAGGACAAGGCAGAAUUUUGAAGCCAAACCACAUAGUAACAUGAAACCCUUUUCUUCAUCUAAUAAAUAGAAAGCUUGAAAUGAGAAUAAAGAGAGAUAACAAAUAGAUGACCUAUCACAGCGUUAGACGAGAAUGGACAAAAUGAUAAGCAUCUUUACCUUAUGGCUUGGGUUCAACAGCUACUGAUGGCCUAAGUAUCUUUUCUUCGGGUGUAAAGAAGCACGUCUGUUAAUGCAAAGCUAUGAUCAUGGAACUGAAACGUGAGGUAUGAGUAGGUAUUAGGAUAACCGAAAAAUACUUAGACCGGAAUAGGUUGAGCCUCACUCUUCCCUUCUAAUGUUCUAUGUCAUACUGACAUCACUACUAGAAUCUGAAAGACUGACUUGGUUAUUCUCUCUGUCAUCUCCCCCUUAGCUUCAAGCCAUCAAAUUAAGUUUGGGAGAUCCCUUACUAGACUCUAAACUAAAGUACACUCACUGCACUCUGGGUCUGGAAAACUAUUAUACACACAUAUCAUGGAACUUAACCUGAAUGAAUACACCUGAAAGUGGAAAACCCACUGUUAAUACUACCUUCUGAGAUACACUUUAUCAUUCUAUAGACCCAGUAGUCAUCAUAUAAUACUUGCAUACUUACUAACUUCAGGUCUUCAUGGGUAUCCCCAUAGUCAGAGUGCACAGCCUCUAGUGCUUUAACUCUUAUUUCUAUUAGUUCAACCUUUAAAAACUCAAACUUAGAAUCUAGCACUCAACAUGGAUAUCACCAAGCCUUUAAUGAAUCAUACCACUUCCGACACAGACUACCAAUAUCGCGACUCCAAACUUGCAUCUCUCUACUAUGAGAAUCAAGAUCAUAUAAAAAGGCUUAACACUAUCAAUCAAAUCUCCUUAACUUGGAUAUUUAGAAAACCAUAUACCAUCUAACUAGUCUUUCUCCACCUAGCAACUCAACGGUACCACUCGUCACACAAAACGUGUAAUAGUCUUAGAAAAUACCGCAACCCCUUACGCAUGAUUCUCACUUGGAUACCAUGAAAUAGACAUCAAGAAACACUAGUACACUAGAACUUCCAAACAACAAAUAAUUGAUCUUGACCUUACGGUCUUCCUUAUCAUAACUCAUUAGCACGUACUAUUUUAACACAUCAAGCCUACUAAUUUUUUCCCACAAAAUAUACAUCAUUACUCUCAUGCCACUAUUUUUAUCACCACAUUCUACAUUAAAUUUAAGCAUAUAGUCCUGUACCAAUCAUCUAUCACUAUUGAAAAAUGCAACAUAAUAUGCUAGUCCAUAAAAUUUGGGACAUACUAUACAAGCGCCUCAAAAAUCACUACUUACCUUCUCACAAGUAAUACUAGUUUACAAUUACCGACGAAAAGAAGGUCAAGGGGUAAAGUUGCAUAAUAGACAUGAUCAACCUUAAUCUUAUAUUAUAACCCCAUACAAUCUUUUCUACUUAUACGGAUUUCUCACCUCAUACUUACUUACCCAAACAUACAUUUAGACUACCUUCAAAUUCCACAAACAACCAUGAGUCUAUACUUACAACUUACUGGCUAAUAUAGCCAUUUUCACACUUUAAGCAAUCGAGAAAUCACCCUAACUAACAACUCCUUCUCUACCUUCUACUAAACUAACACACAAGGACAAAUCACCUCUUUCAAUCUCAUGCAAACUGAUUCAGCUAUAUAUAUAUAUAUAUAUAUAUAUAUUAAACUAACACAAGAACAACAAGUUGGACAACAAGUUGCUAGUGAAUCGAAAUAGGCCUCACACGGCUUCACUAGACUUUACUUUUGUAUUUUUAACAAGAAAAUGAGAUGAAUGACAAGUCAACUAUGCUAGUGAAUCGAAAGAUCCCCACAGGGCAAGAUUAAUACGCAAUAUCCAAUGAACUAAGAAUACACAUCUUACUCUGUAUAAAUAAAAUAGAGUCAAACACUUCCUCCACGGACUACCAUACCAUCCACACAUGCUACUAGUUACCAUAUUAGUCUAUCACCAUAAGGGGGUAAAUCAUUCUCGAACAUCGGUUAUUCAACUAAAAUAUUCAUUUACACAAAAGUCACCCUCGCUCUGACUUCUAACUUUGUGACUUCACAUCACCAACUUCUUGGCCAAAUUUCACUACCAAUAGGUCCUGAUAACAACACUUUAACGCAUACUACUAUUCAGGUGGAAAUAUAGUUCCAACAUUCUACUACACAUCAUCCCCCCUUAAUCAAGACAUUUGUAAUAUAAAUUUGAAGGGGACUAAAUGCAAUUAAUACCUCAAGCCGAAAAGCACGAUUCCACCAGGAUCAAUGUUUACAUCGGAAUCAAUACACAUUAAAGUACUAACGAACUCUUCUCAAGUCCUUGCACAGAUUUUAACUCUUAUAUGGUUCAAUUAGAAAGGAACAUACCAUUUAGAUUCUAAACUUCUGCACUUGAAUCACCUCAAUAAUGAGACAUAUCUGAGGACAUUAGAGUAAGGAAAGAAUUUGGGAUGACUUUUUUUUUACUUUCGUAUGGGCGACACCAUAGCACGAAUUAGAGUAUGAAAGAGGAACAUUCUGACUCUAUUGCAUGAAGUAGAACAUGAAGAAAGAGAGACAUUCCUAAACGCCUAGUAUCCUCCUACUUAUGAGUAUGGCGUGCUACACACCCAUAAAUAAGACUCUACCCGAUGCAAUUUCACAGACACCCUAGGCCCAUGAACUGUGCUUUGAUACCAAGUUUGUCAUGACCUGAACUGGGGCUCUGACCGUGACGAGCAUUCCGAACCAUGAAGGCCCGAAACACCCCUAUCUAUCUGGCAAUCAUGCACAUAAUUCAUAUGAUAAUAAGAUAUGUAGAAGAUACACAAUAUUAUGAAAAACAUGGUCAUAAAUCAAAUGAAAUCAACAAAGGGGAAAUGAUGUCCCACAACAUAUAUCGACAUCUGAACAAUCGUCUAUGAAAUCUCUAAAACAUGACUGAAAUAAAUUACUGUCUGAAAACUGGGACAAGGCCCCCAGUAGACCCAAAACUACUAAAUGAUAAAUGAAUUGACAGACAUCAGGCCUUCCAAAAUAUAGAAGUCUCACCACUUGAUUCUGCAAAUCUGUCGGAAGAGAUCUACUGGUUAUUUGGACCCCUAAACUAUGCCUCCAAACCUGGGAGGGAAAGUGUUCAAUACAAAAGUACUAGUACGCAGAGAAACCAAAAACAAAAUAUAAUGUUUUUUCCAAAUAUAGGUGAGAGCUAUUAUAAAGCAGUUCCAUAUCAAAUCAUUUGAAAACACAUGGGCAUAAGUUAGGGUGUGCGUCGCACACCUUAUGGCAUAAGUUAGGGUGUGCGUCGCACACCUUAUGCUGUACGACAUACUCCACUUUGUAAAGCCAUAACUUCUUCCUCGGGUGUCGGAAUUUCGCAAAAUUGGUAUCGUUGGAAAGAUAAUUUGAAUACCUUUCAUUUGAUAUAUAGUAGGCACUGUAAUUCAAUAUAUACAAAGAUUAAUGGUCGAUUGAAGUUAACCUAAGUUUCAACGUUCACUAAAAUUCGAACGAUAGGAAAACUUUCAACUUGUCCUUGAGCUUGGGGACCUUUAUGAUCUCAAUUCAUGCUAAAAUAGGUUUCUACACUACAUAAUUUAUUAACACACUAAACUUGCAUUGGAUUUAUGGCUUUUGGAACCUUUACGUGAAGAAAAUGACGAUUUUCGUUCUCGUCCGAAAUGCGGGGUGUUACAAAAUUUUGUUAGAAAAUGGAAAAUACAACAAUAUGGAGGACAUUUUAGCUGCACCGUACUCCCAAUAUACACCGUCCUCCUAAUACACUAAACUGAACAUUAAAAGUACUAAUGCAUUUCUUACCUGCACCGUACUCCAAAUACACUAAACUGAACAUUAAAAGUACUAAUGCAUUUCUUACCUGUUGGUGUGUAGCAUUCAAAAGUUUUAUUGUCUUUUGUCGGAAGAUAGCCACAACGACGGUUUCAAGAAUGAAGAUUAAACUUAAAAGAUGCCAUGCUCGCUCUGGAGUUCCUGCUACAUGAUACAACAUGACUCUACAAUGUUGAAGCCACUUUCCUAAUCCUUGGAGUCUAAGUUCUUACGAGAAUGAAAUAUGAUUAGGUAACACAUCCUCAACAUUAUUUGAAUUAGUGACAGGAGGGUUACUGUCGCGAUGUUCUCGAUCAGCGUCCAAACUACUUCUCUGCAACAAGGCUAGAAUCUUUGGGUCUAAUCCAUUCUCCUUCAGCAUCACUGCAAAAUUAGGAUCAAGCCCUUUAUCUUGCAAUAAAUUAGCUAAUUCACGAUCAGUGUGUCUUCCUUUCUGCUUUAAUAUAGAUGUAAUCCUGGGAUCACUCAACUUUUCUUGAAAUGCUAGUGCCAAAUUCAAGUCGAGUAUCUGUUGGUUUGCAGAAGUGGAUUUACUAGAAUCACCACCUUGGCUUUCAAGUCCACUGCUAGAACAAACAACCAAUGAAAUAUUAUGCUCUAAAUUUCUAUCAACAUAUGAGGAUCCUACUUCAGGCUCUUGAACAACUGAACGACAGGAACUACUACGUAGAGCUAGACUUGGUCUUCCACUGUCUAUGCUCUUAUCACUAUUAAUCCCCUCAAUGUUAUUCCAGGUACUGCCAUCACCAGUGCAAGGCAUAGUUGCAUUACCAAGAUGACCAGCAUCAGCACUUCUAAUGCGUUUGACACUUGAGCCACACCCCUCAGAAGAGCUUACGGAGCUAUUUUGGUCUUUUCUGCGGAAACCUUCUCUACGGCGGAUAACUAUACUCUGCAAGGCAUCUUGUUAGCUGCUAAUGGGUCUGUAACUGAUAAAUGCUGUGAAACAGCAGCACCCAACAGCACAGAUGCUACAACUACAUAACUGAUACAACAAAAUUGUUGCAAUAAAAGAUUAGAAUAUUUUUUUUUGAUAACAAAAGAUUAGAAGUUUCUAUUCAACAAAUAAUAUUAAAAGGGAUGCAUAUGCCACAAGUAUAAGAAGAUUUGAUUAUGGAAGAAAAUGAAUUAGCAUAGGUUAACAACAAACCAGUAAUGAACUCCAAAACAGACCAGGAACACCCGAGAUGUUCCGACAACAAUAAGUAUGAUGACUCAGCUUUUCAAAAGCUUAAAACCAUACAAGAAAGCUUCCAAGUUCCAAUCUAAUUGAAUGAAAAGAUAGUGAAUUCAUUACUUACCACAAAGAAAUAAGAAAUUAUUUCACAAUACGAGUCAGAAAAGGAGACAGAUAUAUGUAGGAAAUUAACUACCAAGGAUUAUCAUGGCAGCUGAUGUUGUAGCCCCAAGCCAGUUUGAUUCCUUUGUUGUCAGACCAUACAGGAUCGAAUACACAAGAAGUACUACAAGUGAACCAAUAUAUAGAAGUCCAAGAUUGAGAGCCCUGCAGAGCCCAAGUUCAAAGUGAAGAAGAGUAAAUUAUAGACUUCAGAGAAAAUGUUGAAAAGAUAGUGCAGAAAAUAUGAUGAGCAGUAUAAAUGAGAACCCACUGAACACAUAAUAUAACAAGGUGACUUUAUAAUCUAAAGCAGAAUUUAAAUUAAUUUGCUUAGCAGUGAGAUUUUAAGAUCUACUGUUUUUACUGGACUACUGGAGAGUGUGUUUUGUUCUCUCAGAGUUAGUAUUCCUUUUAUUCAAAUAGAUUUGAGUUACACCCAUUGUUUAGCGUUCUUUGGCUCUUAAUUUUAAAAGUCUGUUAGUUGAGAACAUUUUGGCCUAUCUUCAUAUCUUCCAUAUCUUAUAAAAAAAAUUAUGUUCCAUCCAGAAAAAGAGUUGUCAUAUUAGUCAUCCCUGUCCUUUAUAUAGAGCUCUUCCCAUCUUUGUUCAAAUCCCUAGCCAACAAGAAUGAUGUCCCCUUCAAAAAGUAUUACAUCUUACUCUGUCUUUCUAUUGCCUAUAAACAGUCUAGCACAUCAAUGAUGUCUUCUGCUAGAGCUAAUCAUCAUGUUUACACCAAAAAUAAAGAAGUGCUAAACUAUUCAAGUUGAUCUUCUGGACAUCCUCAAAACAACCCUUGUUUCUUUCUGUCCAAACUGUCCACCAUAUACAUGUUGAACAAUUUUCCAUCUCUCCUCCUUUAUUACAUUUACAUCCCCAUUCAUGCUGCUUAGUACUUUUUUAAUGCCACUAGGUUCUACCCACCUGAUCCCCUUCAGGUUGAAAACAUUCUCUACAGUUGCUCUGUCCGUUUCCAAUGUAAGAAAGAUGGUUGAUUAUGUAAAGAAAGGAUCUUGGGCCUAACUCAACCCUAAAAGCUAGCACAUGAGGGGAGGAUUGCUCAAGUCCAUAUAAUAAGACCGACAGUUAACUCCCCAACAAUGUAGGACUUUCACCUACUCUAACACCACCUUCACGCCCAGGCCCAAUAAGAGCGUGGUACGAGAGCUCAAACGUGGAUGGACCUGUUGUUUGAGAAGGAAUAUUAACUGCUGUUUGUAUGCAAGAGAGAAUAGAUAAGAUGUUUUUACUGAAUACAUUGGGUCUAUCAGCACAUACAGGUUCAUGCAUUAUGCCAUUAGGUUUUGCAGCAGUUCCAAUAUUUUCAGCAGCACCACAAGUUGAAUUUUGAUGCACUGCAGUAAGGAAAGAAAACUUAAACAUUAACUUGAGACAACAACACAAGCUUCUCAAAUGCAGGUUCUAGCAAGAACAAAGAUAACAAGCAAAUAGAAGGCAAUGAAGAUAAGGAUAAGUCUAGAUGAGCUUGGGGACAGGCUCCAAACUGAACACAGUGCUCGUUAUUCUUGUUGUAGAUAAGAUCAGACAACUUAUUAUUUUGACGUUAAGAGUUUCUUGUAGAGGAUGCUGAAUCCAUUUUGCAACUUUGGAGGCCUUGUAAAGCACAGAGAGGCUCAUUUUUGUAAAGAAAAUACUGCCCACAUAGUAUCUAUGCUAUCAUUUUUAAAAAAAUAUGGUGCUUGCUGGUUUUACCAAUAUCUUGUAUGCUUGUACCUUCCAAUGCAACCUCCCGGCGAAAAAACUAACCACCAAUAGGCAUCUUUUAGCAUAGAAGAUUCUAAGACUGUCUUACUAGGAAUUAGGUAAGUACAAGUUCUUGAAGGGAAAUUGUUUGCAUCAUUGAAGAUCAGAAAGCCAGGUAUAUAGGAGAUUAGACAUUUUAAAGAAAAAAUAACAGGUUUAAUAUCAGGAAAGACAUCAAAAACUCUUAUUUACAUAUAAAUGAUGGAUCCCAAAUAACUUCAGAAGUUACACACAAAAGGAAAAUGGUACAGAAACCAAUUCCACCUUCAUAAUAACUAUGUCUGCUUGAUGUAAGCAUAAACAUUAUCAAGAAAGACAUCAAAGACUCUCAUUGACAUAUAAAUAAUGGAACACAAAUAACUUCAGAAGUUACACGCAAAAGGAAAAUGGUACAGAAACCAAUUCCACCUUCAUAAUAAUUGUGUCUGCUUGAUAUAAGUAUAAACAUAAAGAACAUACUGACAUACCAAAAAAUUAUCAAAAUGUUCUACAAUGUAGUGCUAAUUUUUUUUGUUUUUUGAAAUUAAACGCAGUGUAUAGUUUAAAAAUGUGCAAACAACAUUUAAUGUGGCACGUGAAGCAUCAGGUACUGGAAGGAAAAUUUAAAACAUGGUGGAGGCAAAUGAAUCAAAUAUACUAAGACAAAGAAGGCAUUUGAUUGCAGAUCAAAUGGAAGAGUCUGCCAACCGACCAGAUUUAGGAGCAGCUCUGGUCCAUGCACCAUUUUGAGGUAAAUUUAUAUGGUUAAAAAUUUGGAUGUUACUUAAUAUAUGCACAAACUGAACAUGAACUGCCCGGUUAGACAAGUGCUUUUUGUAGCUACCCAGUGACAACCUUAGUGAAAGAAUACAUCAAUGAGAAGUUAACUCAGUAAGCUUAAUGAGCUUUCCCCUGUAAGGAAUGAAAGUGUGGAUGACCCGACAUCAAAUAUACGAUUGUUAUUAUACACACAAUCUCUAUACAAUAGCAACAACAUACCCGAUGUAUAUUCGGGCAGAAUAUAUGGAAACCAUACCUCUACCUCAAAGACGAGAAGAAAACGGUAGCACCAAUCCUCACUAAAUACUUCAUAAGAUAAAAAAACAGCCAAUACUUACAAAACCAAAUGAAGCAAAAGAAGUUCAUUUUCUUGAUCACCAGCAAGUAAAAGAAAUGUUUACAAUUGGAGAUUUAAAAAGGUUGCAAAAGAAAGAAGCAAACUUUCUAUUUAACAAGUGUCAAAGUGGGGAAAGAAUAAGAGUAAAACCAAUAAGUAUACGAGAAGUCUGAACACUAUAGUCAAUGAACAAAAUAUGAAUUGUAGUUUGGAAAUUUAGUAUCCAUCACUCCAACAGAGAAUCAGGACUUGCAAGAAGGUUGAAAGGUUUGCCUAUCGAGUUUUUCAAGAUUGUGAUUUGACCCUUUUUCAUAAGAAAGUCUUCAUCGAGGGUGUCUACCUUUCUUUUCAACAUGUUGAUCUCAUAAUUCAACAACAUGUUCAUCUCACUGUAGCUCUUAACUUCCUCCCACAUGAAAUCCCUCUCCUGAAAUACUUUUGGUAGUAUCGCCUUUACAACGCAAAGUUCCUUCAUGCAUUCUUGCAAAUCAUUGGUGAGCUAGUUGAUAUUUUCAUCCCUUUUUAGCACCUGUGAGAAUCAACCGUAAACCAUGAAAAACAAAAAAGACACAAAGAUCACCAAUAACAUUUCAUCAGAAAUUCAAAACAAACUCAUAGCCUAGAAGUUCAACCAAAUCAUGAAUCCUUUUUAACUAUUAAAAUUCAUAGUAGAUAACUCCUGAGCUUGUCCAAGAAUUAAGUAAGAUGAACGAGCAAAGUUACCAAAACCCCUUCGGGUAACUUUACCACAUCAGAGCAUAAUCAGAUCAAUGGAUUUGACGAUAUCACAAAGUUUAUCAUGUUCUUGGUUGGUUCAAGUGAUGACACAUUAAGGCGAUCAGAAAUUUCACAGAAGACUACCACAUGCCAGCAACUCAUGUAUACAAGUUCAUAAAGAAAUCUGUGAACUUUAGAUGGAACAAAGAUGAACCUAAAAUCAAAUAGAAGUAGAAAGCUAAUGCAGAGAGAGUAACAUGCGAACAGGCUAUCAUAUAUGAAGACAGGGUAUCCAAAGUUGAAAAAUAAAAACUAUUCAGUUGCAACGAGAUAUUAACAUUGCCUGCUUACCUGAAGUUUGAGAUAUUUCAACUUGGGUGUGGCAUAAGAAAGAGCAUCCAGUUUAUUUUGCACUUAACAUUGGAGAAUGUCGUUACCUCUAACUGUUAUGGCUAGAUUAGCCUGAAGUUGCUUUAUGUCCAUCUCCUCGGAAUAGAGCUUCUCCCUUAGCACAGUUGUCAGCAAAGUCUCUGAUUUAAGCCCUUUAACCUUUUCCUGGUAGUUUUCUCAGACAUAAUCUCUAUUGUCUUGAGAUACUCGAUAUUCCACUUGUAACUAAGUGAGAUGCUGCCGUAGAUUUUAAUUCUCCUCUGACACUUGCUCUAUUCUCUUAGACAAAUCUUCAAGGUGUUUCUCCGAAAAUGAUAUCUUGAUUCUAUUAUCUACUUCCUUCUCAUUAAAUGAAGAGACUUCCCUUUGUAGAGACACAUUCUGCUCUGCAAGCUCCCUCGCCCUUUCACGGGUCUAUGUUGUUCAAUUUGGUAUUUCUCAAGUUUUAGAGACCAAUUGUUGGAUCUUCUAUCCAACUUCUUUUCCAAUACUGAUUUUAACUCAUUCUUUUCUGUCUCCAAUCUUCGUGUCCGUGAAUCUAGUUCUGCCUGUAAUAUGCUGGCUUCUUGCUUAGCAGAAGCCCUUUCAGCAACUUGAUUCCAUAGCAUGCUUGAAACUUCAGAAGCCAUUUGUACCUUCUCCUUUGUCAAUCUUGUAAUAGUCCGAAUCAAUAAUGGAACGCUAAGGUCUCUGCCAUGAAGAAACAUUUGUUAUUACUUUGGACAAGCAAAUGCAAAUUAAAACAUCAGUUUAAGUGUGAAAAAGGAAGCUAAAGCAAAAUGAUAUGCAUACCGGCUUGAAUCACGACUAGAUUUCUUAGGAUGAACUUUCUUACUGUGACCAUGGGGAGAUUUGCUCAGAUCCAUGAAAUUCUUUUUUCCUAACCCACUGUCAUAGAAGGAUUCGGAUGAUAAUGAAACACUCCUCCAAGAAGAAACUUCCUUGGACUUUAAUGGUGGUGAAGGGGUCUUGUUUUCAUCAUUAGUUGAUGAUCGAAAAAAGAAGAAGUUGUUCUUCAUCAUCUCUAUGUAUGGAGACUGUACAUGAAUCAAACUAGUGUCCAUGAGAUUUCAAAGGGCAAAGCAAAACACUCAUAAAUAGCCACUCACAAAUCAUUAUCCAUUCAUGAAAAUACUGCAAGCUAACUAAAUACUUAUGAGACAAAGCAAAACAUCUCUCUUUCUACAUGCUUCUUCUUCAACAACAACAUACGUAACCCCUACCUUGGCAAGUAGAAAAUUUGUUUCUCAUAAAUCCUCGGCAAGGAAAGCAAAANNNNNNNNNNNNNNNNNNNNNNNNNNNNNNNNNNNNNNNNNNNNNNNNNNNNNNNNNNNNNAUACAACAAGUAGAAAAGAAAAAUAUAUACUAAUACUACUACCAGAAGAGAUAUGACGUGAAACUAUUUACUAAUAGUCUUCUACUGAAAAUUAAUAAAAUACCCCAUAAACAAAUAGCACAAGAACAAUUCAAAGAACUUAUCAAAUCCUUCUGAUAAAACAAAUAAUCAUGGUAAAUAAUCAAAAAAUAAGAGAAAUUACUGAAUCAAAGAGUUGAAAGAGUAAGAGCCGGCAAAAUGUUGUCAUAAUUUGUACGAUUCUUGUCAUUUUUUCUUGAAAUGUAAAAAUAGCAAAAGACUAGAAUUCUGUGUCUUUCAUUCAUCAUCGUACAAUGCAUAUAUACAACUAACAAGGAUCUGUAAAUUUCAAGUAAUAUUUACAAGGAUCUGUAAAAUUCAAGUAAAUAUUUACAAGGAUCUGUAUAUGGCAAGUGAAUAUUUACAAGGAUCCAGAAAUAUGGCAAGUGAAUAUUUAUAUACUCAUAAUGAAAAACUUAAGAAAUACCUAUGAGAGAGAGAAGAAAAGUGUAACAAAUAUUUUGUGUUAUUCAAUAGCUAUAAAUAGCCAUAUGAGAUCAAAUUUUCCAUAUAAUAGAAAUAAAAUUAAAACUAUAAAUUAAAUUUUUCAAAUUAGCACACAAAUUAACUUAAAUUAUGAAAUUUAAGAUAUUUAUUUUUUCAAAAUUUAACUUUUUCAUAUAAACAUCACUGAAUUGAUAUAAACAAUAUUUUGAAAUGUGAUAAAUUAAUUAAAUAACCCAAAAAUAUUGUAAUAUUGUAUUUNNNNNNNNNNNNNNNNNNNNNNNNNNNNNNNNNNNNNNNNNNNNNNNNNNNNNNNNNNNNNNNNNNNNNNNNNNNNNNNNACUUACCAUUUAAAAAUUGUUUCAUUUGAAUUAAUAAGAUCAUAGUAGAUUGUACAAAAUCAGUUAAUAAAUGAUAUAUAUUUCAAUUAAAUAAAUAAAGUACAAUAUAAUUGUAAUAAGAAUACACAAUCAACUAAUUAAUUUCACUUAAUUAGAUUAAAUUUUAUGAUCAUAAUAUAUAGACUAAAGUUCCUUAAAUUUAAUGUUGUAAAUUUCAAAAUAUAUUUAUGGCUNNNNNNNNNNNNNNNNNNNNNNNNNNNNNNNNNNNNNNNNNNNNNNNNNNNNNNNNNNNNNNNNNNNNNNNNNNNNNNNNNNNNNNNNNNNNNNNNNNNNNNNNNNNNNNNNNNNNNNNNNNNNNNNNNNNNNNNNNNNNNNNNNNNNNNNNNNNNNNNNNNNNNNNNNNNNNNNNNNNNNNNNNNNNNNNNNNNNNNNNNNNNNNNNNNNNNNNNNNNNNNNNNNNNNNNNNNNNNNNNNNNNNNNNNNNNNNNNNNNNNNNNNNNNNNNNNNNNNNNNNNNNNNNNNNNNNNNNNNNNNNNNNNNNNNNNNNNNNNNNNNNNNNNNNNNNNNNNNNNNNNNNNNNNNNNNNNNNNNNNNNNNNNNNNNNNNNNNNNNNNNNNNNNNNNNNNNNNNNNNNNNNNNNNNNNNNNNNNNNNNNNNNNNNNNNNNNNNNNNNNNNNNNNNNNNNNNNNNNNNNNNNNNNNNNNNNNNNNNNNNNNNNNNNNNNNNNNNNNNNNNNNNNNNNNNNNNNNNNNNNNNNNNNNNNNNNNNNNNNNNNNNNNNNNNNNNNNNNNNNNNNNNNNNNNNNNNNNNNNNNNNNNNNNNNNNNNNNNNNNNNNNNNNNNNNNNNNNNNNNNNNNNNNNNNNNNNNNNNNNNNNNNNNNNNNNNNNNNNNNNNNNNNNNNNNNNNNNNNNNNNNNNNNNNNNNNNNNNNNNNNNNNNNNNNNNNNNNNNNNNNNNNNNNNNNNNNNNNNNNNNNNNNNNNNNNNNNNNNNNNNNNNNNNNNNNNNNNNNNNNNNNNNNNNNNNNNNNNNNNNNNNNNNNNNNNNNNNNNNNNNNNNNNNNNNNNNNNNNNNNNNNNNNNNNNNNNNNNNNNNNNNNNNNNNNNNNNNNNNNNNNNNNNNNNNNNNNNNNNNNNNNNNNNNNNNNNNNNNNNNNNNNNNNNNNNNNNNNNNNNNNNNNNNNNNNNNNNNNNNNNNNNNNNNNNUAUUUAUUUACCAUAAAUCUGUCCUAAUUUUAUAUCUUGAUUGUAGUUAAUUAAUCUACAAUUACAUAAAGGUCUCAAAUAUGAAAACAAUUGAUAUUAAUUACCUUUAUAAUUUUGGCAAUUCAAUCCCAUGAAUUUCUCAUGUUUUUUAUAGAUUGAUUAUAUUAAAUUUAUUUCAAUUACCUUUUUAAUUUUGGUAAGAAUUUAAAAAAGGUAACGAUUAUUUUUUUUCCUAAUUACUGAUUUAUUUCUCAAAAAGUUCUUAUAAAUUCAUAAUUUGAUUAUAGUCAAUUGAUUAUUUAAUUAUCUUUAUAAUUUGCUAAAAGCUCAAAUAAGGUAACAAUUAUUUUUUUCUAAAUUAUGGAUUUUCUUAUAUUCAAUCUUUUAUUGUUUUACUAUAAUAGUUCAAAUUUAAUUGUUUUGAGGGAUGACAACUUUUUGUGUCUAAAUCUUUUUUAAUACAUAGGAAAUGCUAAAGGCAUACAAUAAUCUCCUUUCUUUUUAUAAUCCAAACUUACCAUUUACAAAUUAUUUCAUUUGAAUUAAUAAGAUCAUAGUAGCUUGUACAAAAUCAAUUAAUUAAUUAUAUGUAUUUUGAUAUAAAAAAAAAUGAUGUACGACAUAAUUGUAAUAAAAUUACACAAUCAACGAAUUAAUUUCAAUUAAUUAGAAUCAAUUUUAUAAUCAUAAUAUAUAGACUCAAGUUCCUUANNNNNNNNNNNNNNNNNNNNNNNNNNNNNNNNNNNNNNNNNNNNNNNNNNNNNNNNNNNNNNNNNNNNNNNNNNNNNNNNNNNNNNNNNNNNNNNNNNNNNNNNNNNNNNNNNNNNNNNNNNNNNNNNNNNNNNNNNNNNNNNNNNNNNNNNNNNNNNNNNNNNNNNNNNNNNNNNNNNNNNNNNNNNNNNNNNNNNNNNNNNNNNNNNNNNNNNNNNNNNNNNNNNNNNNNNNNNNNNNNNNNNNNNNNNNNNNNNNNNNNNNNNNNNNNNNNNNNNNNNNNNNNNNNNNNNNNNNNNNNNNNNNNNNNNNNNNNNNNNNNNNNNNNNNNNNNNNNNNNNNNNNNNNNNNNNNNNNNNNNNNNNNNNNNNNNNNNNNNNNNNNNNNNNNNNNNNNNNNNNNNNNNNNNCAUGAAUUUCACAUAUUCUUAUAGUUUGGUUAUAUCAAAUUUAUAUUAAUUACCUUUAUAAUUUUGGGAAGAAUUUUAAAAAGGUAACAAUUAGUUUUUUUUUCCAAUUACUGAUUUAUUUCUCAAAAAUUUCUUAUCAAUUUACAAUUUGAUCAUUUAAUUAUCUUUACAAUUAGCUAAAAGCUCAAAUAAGGUGACAAUUAUUUCUUUUCUUAGUUACGGAUUUUCUUAUAUUCAAUCUUUCAUUGUUUCACUAAAAUAGUUCAAAUUUAAUUGUUUUGAGGCAUGACAUCUUUUUGUCUAUAAAUCUUUUUUAAUACAUAAGAAAUGCUAAAGUCAUACAAUAAUCACCUUUAUUUUUAUAAUCCAAACUUAUCAUUUAAAAAUCAUUUCAUUUGAAUUAAUAAAAUCAUAGUAUAUUGCACAAAAUCAAUAAAUUAAUUAUAUGUAUUUUUAUUAAAUAAAUUAUAUACGAAAUUGUUGUGAUAAAACUAUACAAUCAAGUAAUUAAUUUCAAUUAAUUAGAAUCAAUUUUAUGAUCAUAAUAUAUAGACUCAAGUUCCUUAAAUUUAAUGUUGUAUGUAAAUUUUAAAAUAUAUUUAUAGCUAAAGUAAUAGUCAACGUUCGUUGUUUUUUUUACCAAUAUAUGCAUAUCAAUUACGAAUCUUUCCAUAUAUUUUAUUAUUAAAGUAGUUGUCAAUAUUAACUAAUUUCUAGUUCAAUUUAAUCUAAUUAAUUUGAUAGCAAUAAAAUUAUUAUUAAUAUUAUAUAUUUAUUUACCAUAAGUCUGUCCUAAUUUUGUAGCUUGAUUAUAUUUAAUUAAUCUACAAUUGUAUAAAGGGCUCAAAUAUGAAAAUAAUUGAUAUUAAUUACCUUCAUAAUUUUGGAAAUUCAAUCCCAUGAAUAUCUCAUUUUUUUAUAGAUUGAUUACAUUAAAUUGAUAUCAAUUACCUUUUCAAUUUUGGAAAGAAUUUUAAAAAGGUAACAAUUAUUUAUUUUCCUAAUUACUAAUUUAUUUUUCAAAUAUUUCUUAUAAAUUUAUAAUUUAAUUAUAGUCAAUUAAUUAUUAUUAUCUUUAUAAUUUGCUAAAAACUCAAAUAAGGUAACAAUUAUUUUUUUCCUAAUUACGGAUUUUCUUAUAUUCAUUCAUUUAUUUGUUUACAAAAAUAGGUCAAACUUAAUUAUUUUGAGGGAUGACACCUUUUUUUAAUAUUUUUUAUUCAAAAUGAUUGCAAUAUUUUCUAUAUAAAUUGAUCCGUUACUAUUUAUUAAUUGGUUAUUCUCUUAAAUAAUUUUUUCUUGUAAUAUUUCUUUUAAUCAAUUGUAAUGAAAUAAUUCAUAUUUAUUUUCUUAUAAUACUAUCAUUAAAAACAUAUGAAAUGUAAUUUAUUAAAUUCUUAGUUUUAGGCUAGACUAUCCUCCUUUAUUAUAUAGAUAGAUAAUUUCAACAAAAUUAAUUAGAGUAUUUUCUUAUAAAAAUAAUAUAAAAUUUUAUUUUAUAAAAAUAAUAUAAAAUAUGGUAUAUUAAUAAUAUUUGCAUUAAUUAUGUUUCUAUUUUCUUACAUAUUAUUUGAUUCUACGCAUUAAAAAUAACAUUGAAUCAAUGGUGAAAGUGGAGGGACUUCUUUCUUUAUUGGGGUUUUUCUUUUUGGGAAAGCUGACACUUUCUUGACUACCAACCACCCAACACAAAGCUGACACUUCUUGGUAGAUUGGCUAUUUUUUCAUACGGUACUAAUUUAUAUGCAUUUUCUUUGAUAUUUGUUAUAUUGUUAGUUUUAUUUUGCGUAUCGUAUUAGUUUAUAUGCAUUUAUUUUUUAUGUUUGGUAUGUUAUUAUGAUCCUAAGCUAGGAGUCUAUCGGAAACAUCCUCUCUACUUCACCUGAGUACUGAUAUGAUCUACAUAUACUAACCUCCCCAGACCCCACUAUCUGGAAAUACACUGAUUUUUGUUAUUGCUGUUGUUGUUUCUUAUACAGUAUUUGAUUCAAAGUAUUAAAAAUAACACGAAUUACAUAAUUUUUUUUUACAUAAUACCCCAACUUUAAGCAUGUUAAUGCAUGCAUUAGAUCCAUUGUAUUACUAAUGUCAUAAAUUUUGAAGUAUUAGUAAUACACGCCUCAAUACACAAUAGAGUAUAUUACUAAUUUUUGCAUUAGUUAUACAUAAGAUAAAAAGAUAUAUAUCAAACAAGGGACUACUAAUACACAUUAAAUUAAUGGAUGCAUUAAUUUUUACGUAAUACAUUCCAUGCUUUAUCACAGAUUUGAUUCCUUGUCUUAAGCUGGGAGUCUAUCGGAAAUAGCCUUUCUACUUCUUCGGAGGUAGUGAUAUGAACUACGUACAUCUUACCCUCUUUAGACCCCACUAUGUGGAAAUACACUGAAUUUAUUGUUGUUGUUGUUAUUAAUUUUUGAAUACACUCUAUCAAAAGACUCUAUGCUUCUCAUUUAAUUAUACCUUUAGCUCCUUUUUAAUUAUGAUAAUUGCUCUCUGACUCCACCUUGCUUUUUAAAAAUAUAAAUAAAUAGCAAUGAAUUUAAUUUUGCUCAUUACUCUACUAAUUGUAGUAAUGUUAGGUGAAUUCAUCAACUUAAAAUUAGAGUACAUUCACUCAAGCUACAUGUUAUAGAUAUAGUUCAAAAAAGGAAUUAUACGUUUGACAUAAUACAUAAAUGUGUUUUCAACUUGACAUCAUUAGCAAAUAUUUAUAUAUUUUAAUUUUGAAUGUUGCACAAAUAAAUACUUCGACUAUCAUAUAAAGUUAAAAUAAAUAUAUAUAUAUGUGAGUCUUGUAUCGCAAUUUGUCAUGCAAAAUGUGUGCAUCUCAUACAAUUUGUCAAGUAAUUAAAGCGUUUGUGUCUAGGGGAGUGCAUCGGUCGGUUCGGUUGGGUUUUACAUAUUAUCAUUAGAUUUAUCGAUUUUCGGUUUUUAAAUAUGCUAAACCAAUAACCAAACCAAUAAAAUAUUUUUUUUUGGUUCUUAGUCCUUAACGAUUUGGUUUUGGGUUUAACCGAUAAGAAAAUACUCAUAAAAUAGAAAUAGUAGUAACUAACAUGUAAAAAAUGAAUCUUAGUUGCAACAAAAAUCCUACAUGAAGUGUUUGAAUUUACAAAAAUCUUCAAGUUUGAACUAAAUGUUGUUAGGAGAAAUUCAGAGUUUAUAUAAUUGAAAUAACAGGUUUGUUAAUUUGUAGAAAUAAAAUAUAAAUAUAUAAUAAUUCAUAUUAUAUAUGUAUAUGCAUAUGUUUUGAAAAGGUGUUAAUUUGAGAGCAUGAAUUAUAUGGAAUCCCUCUCUUGAUGUGAAUUUGUUUUAAAUGUUCAUAUGAUGUAAAUUGUUUGAAAACAUCUUGAAAAGCAUGACAUGAAAUGUUUUGAGAAUUUAUAUGAUUUUGACUUGAAAACUAGAGGGCUAUUUGUGUUGAAACAUGUUGAAUACAAUGGUUGAAUGAGAAGAAUGAUGUGAUAUUGAUGGCUUGGAAGUCGGUUAUGAUGAUACCCUACAGAAUAUGAUUUGUGAUUAAAUCGGAUGAAAUUUGAAUGCAUUGAUUUUACAUGAGAUAGGUGGAUAUCCGAAGAAGGCAUUUGAGUAUAAGGGCUCAUCGCUAGAAAUCGUGUUUGCCGACAUGGGAAUUUGGUACCCUGCUUUGUGAUCUUGCGUACCUGACUUUAUGUCAUUCCCAAUUUGGGACUAUGGUUAGGAGCCCUGCUUUGUGAUCUUGUGCACUACCAUUGGGUCGAGAUAUCCUGUUGUGUGAUCUUGUGUGUCUUCCCCUCACUUAUACUCUAAUCUUGGCGGCAACCGAGGUUUGACAGUUGGUGUAAAUAUGAUAUGUAGGGUAUUCCACCUAGCUCAGCAGGAUUAUAUUGUUGUUGAAAACAAUUAUAUUAUGCCCAUGUGUUUUCAAAUGAUUUGAUAUGAAACUGCUUUAUAAUGGCUCUCAACUAUAUUUUGUAAAACUAUUAUGUUUUGUUUUGAUAUCUCUGCGUACCAGUACUUCUGAAUUGAACCCCUUUCCUCCCGGGUACAAAGGCACAGUCUAGGGGUCCAGAAAAUCAGUAGAUUCCUCAAACAGAUUUACAGAGUCACUUGGUGAGCCUUCUAUUUUUUGGAAGGCCUGAUAUUUGGAUCUACUGGAGGCCUUGUCCCAGUUUUCAAAUAGAUAUUUAUUUCAGUCAUGUAGUAGAGAUUUCACAAACGUUAUAGAGAUGUUGUGUUGAGAUUGUGGGACAUUAUUCCCCGUUAUUGAUUCAUAUGAUUCUUGACCAUGUUUCCAUAAUAUUGUUUGUCUUCCAUAUUUCUUUUAUCAUAUGAGUUAUGUGCAUGAUUAUCAGACAAAUAGGGGUGUUUCGGGCCUUUAUGGUUCGGAAUGCUCGUCACGGACAGGGCCCCAAUUUGGGUCGUGACAAACUUGGUAUCAGAGCAAGGUUCAUGGUCCCAGGGUGUCUACAAAAUCAUAUCGGGUAGAGUCUUAUUUAUGGGUGUGUAGCGUGCCACACUUAUAAGUAGGAGGCUCCUAAGCAUUUAGGAAUGUCUCUCUUUCUUCAUGUUCCAGUUCGUGCAAUAGAGUCAAAAUGUUCCUCUUUCAUACUGUCAUUCAUGCUAUGGUGUCGCUCAUAUGAAGGUAAAGUCAUACCAAAUUCUUUCCUUACUCUGAUGUUCUCAGACAUGUCCCAUUAUUGGGGUGAUUCAAGUGCAAAAAGUUUAGAAUCUACAUGAUAUAGUCUUUUUCGAUUGUGUCAUAUAAGAAAAAAAAUUGUGCAAAGACUCGAGAGGAGUCUGUUGGUGCUUCAAUAUGUGUUGAUUCUGAUAUAAACAUUGAUCCUGAUGGAAUCGUGCUUUCUAGCUUAUGGUAUUAAGUGCAUCUAGUCCCUCCCAAAAUUCUUGAUACAGAUGUGGACGGUGUAUAGCAGAAUGUUGGAACUAUAUUUCCACCCAAAUAGUAGCAUAAGUUAAAGUGUUGUUGUCAUGACCUAUUGGUAAUGAAAUUAGACCAAGAAUUUAGUGAUGUGAAGUCACAAAGUUAGAAGUCAGAGUGAGGGUGAUUUUUGGUGUAAAUGAAUAUUUCAGUUGAAUAACCAAUAUUUGAGGAUGAUUUACCCCUUUAUAGUGAUAAACUAACGUGGUAGCUAGUAGCACGUGUGGAUGGUAUGGUAGUCCAUGGGGAAGUAUUUUACUCAAAUUUUAAUUUAUAAAGAGUAAGAUGUGUAUUCUUAGACCAUUAAAUAUUGUGUCAAUUUCCUAUCUCUUGUAAUAUGUAAUCUUGUUAUCAUGGUAUUUUUGAAAUAAAUUUUAAAGUCUAGUGAAGCCGUGUGGGGCUCUUUCGAUUCACUAGCAUAGUUGCCUUGUCAUCCAUCUCAUUUUCUUGUUCAAAAUACCAAACCAAAGUCUAGUGAAGCCGUGUGAGGCCUAUUUCAAUUCACUAGCAACUUGUUGUCCAACUUGUUGUUCUUUUGUUGGUUUAAUAUAUGUAUGGCUGAAUCUGUUUGCAUGAGAUGGAGUUGGUAAAGAGGUGAUUCAUCCUUGUGAGUUAGUUUAGUAUAAGGUAGAGAAGGAGUUGUUAGUCAGGGUGAUUUGUUGGUUUCUUGAAUGUGAAAAAUGGCUAUAUUAGCGAGUAAGUUAUGAUCAUAGACUCAUGGUUGUUUGAGGAAUUUGAAGGCAGUCUAAAUGUAUGCUUGAGAAAGUAAGUAUGAGGUCAGAAAUCCGCAUAAGUAGAUAAGAUCUUAUGGGGUUAUAAUAUCAGUUAAGGUUGAUCAUGUCUAUUAUGUGACCUUACUCCUUGACUUUUUUCGUUGGUAGUUGUAAACUAGUACUACUUAUGAGAAGGUAUGUAGCAAAUUAUGAGGUAUUUGGAUAGUACUAUAUGACUGGCAGAGACUUUUCAAAGAUUUGCAGGAGUUCUCGAAACUAUUUUCUAAAAAAUUAAGAGUACUUUGAAAAAAAUCUAUAUAAAUCUUUUACUUAGUGAUUGCCUAGACAUCAAUUAGGAUGGGGAGUCAGGGGUGGAAGUCCCAACAUGAUGAAAUACCUAAAAGAUGGCAAGGGCAAAUCAAGGAUCGUAGGAGGUCAACACGGAGUAGUUUCUUUCAAACUAAUCAUUUUUUGUGGCUGCAGGGAUUGAUACACAAAAUGAGCGUUUCUUUCGAAAAAUCCCCAAGCAAGUCGGGAGCCAUGACAGAGCAUAUAAGGCUUAGUAACGGUACCUUUGGUAGCCCAAAAACCGGCUCAACACCCAUUUAUUGACGACCUUUCGAAUUGUCCAUCUCAUUUCUUGAGACCAUGGAGGACAAACAAAGUGUCUUGUCUUUUUUACAAAUAUUGUAUUUAGAAUUUUUCUAAAAAAAAAAAUAGUCGCUAGCAAAAGCGACUUUGUGUCUACUAAUCGUCUACCUUGAGUACGGGUACAUGCAGAAAGCAAGACCCUGACAAAUGAUUUCAGGAGAAACUAUUUUUAAUUUAUCGGAAGAACCAUUGCAUGUCAUUGCCAAGAGGGCCAUUACAUAUCAUCGUCAUUCAAUAUCUGUUGGCGUGCUAGACACAAUGCUAGCAUCGAGGAUAUCAUUAGCAUUCAAUAUAUCCAUUGACAUGCAAGACACAACACUGGCGUCGAGGAUAUCAUCAUCAUAUAAUAUCUAUUAACGCGCUAGACACAACGCAGGCAUUGAGGAUAUCAUCAACAUUCAAUAUAUCUGUUGACACGCAAGACACAAUGCUAGCGUCGAGAAUAUUAUCAUCAUUCAAUAUCUAUUGACGAUCUAGAUACAACGCUGGCGUCGAGGAUAUUAUCAGCAUUCAAUAUAUCUGUUGACACGCAAGACACAAUGCUGGCGUCGAAGAUAUCAUCAUCAUUCAAUAUAUGUUGACGCGCUAGACACAACGCUAGCGUCGAGGAUAUCAUCAUUAAUAUAUAACUAUUGACACGUAAGACACAACACUGGCAUUGAGGAUACCAUCAUGAUGCAAUAGCUGUUGACAUGCAAGACAUAACUCUGGCGUCGAGGCUAUCAUCAUCAUGCAAUAUUUGUUGACGCGGAAGACACAAUGCUAGUGUCGAGGAUAUCAUCAGCAUUCAAUAUAUCUGUUGACACGUAAGACACAACACUGGCAUCGAGGAUAUCAUCAUCAUUCAAUAUAUCUGUUGAUACGUAAGACACAACGUUGGCGUCGAGGAUAUCAUCAUCAUUUUAUUUCUGUUGACAUGCAAGACAUAAACACUAGCGUCGAGGAUAUCUUAUCAUUUUAUGAAUCAGCAUCCGAAUGCAUCAAGAGCACAUGAUUUGAAGGGACGCCUUUAAGUCGCUAUCUAAGGAUGAAUGAUAUAUAAGAUUUCCUAGAAAUUUACAAUUUGAGGGUCAUCUAUAAGUUAUAUUAUUUGAAAUAUGAUAGUGUACAAGAUCACCUAUGAGUUGAUAGCCGGUAGGUCAUCCGUAAGCCACAACAAAAUUCUAACCGGAUAGUGUGCAAGAUCGCCCAAAAAUUGAUAGUUCAAAGGUUAUCCAUAAGUCGCAACUAAAUCCUUACCAGAGAAUAUGCAAGAUUAUCAAAUGGAUACAUCCAAGGGUUCUCUAUAAGCCGUGUCAUAUCCAAGUUCGAUUAUAUGCAGGAUUACCCAAAGACUAACAAUUUGAGGGAUUAUCUAUAAGUCAUAUUAUAUCCUAGGUCGGAUGAUGUGCAGGAACACCUGAAAUCUAGCGAUUGGAGGGAUAUAUGUAAGCCAUCUCUUAUUUAAAGUCGGACAAUGUGCAGGAUUACCUAAAAGCUAGAAAUCAAAAGGAUAUCUGUAAGUCGCCUCGUAUCCAACAUCAAAUAAUGUGUAAGAUUAUCUAAAGAUUGAUAAUUUAAAGGAAAUUUAUAAAUCGAUCAUCGGCUAUAACUGGAGAGGUUAUCAUUCCACAUGCAACAAAUGAUAUAGGUACCCAAAGGGUUGCCACACCAGCACGCCAUUGUCCAAAAGGGCCACCCACUUUGAAGACAUAUUCAACCGACAAAUGUCAUAAUUAUACAACAACCAAGAGGGUUGUUGUGUUUGGUAUUGUCGGUUAUUUCAUUCCAAACAGGUACAUGAAGAGAUGACUCCACUUUUCAGGCCACAACUCACGUGGAGAUAUGGUAAAAGACUGCAUGCCUCUUUCGUGAAUUAUGUUUAGCACUAAAAAUUUUUGCUUGAAGCAUUGUCGAGGGCAUCCGUGAGGAUGAAAAUCUUAAAUCAAAACCACAGGUACGGAUGACUUCAAAUAGGAUGCAAUACCCGAAUCCAACCCGUUUUCUUUUUCCUCGUUAUGAUCACGCACGUUCCACAUGAAUCCAUACGAGAAGAUGCUAAGAAUAUUCUAGAAACACACUUAGGUGUCUCAUCCAACGUUCAAAUCUCAAAAUUCUCGCAUAGAGGUUUACGAAUUCGUACAUAGGUGGAGUAUUUUCAUUGGCUUGUGAAGAUUAUUCCCUUUCCACCAAUUUCUAUUGGCCACUUUUUGGAAUUCCGUUCAAGAAAAUCAAAAUAGAGGUAUAGUUUGUUAGGGUCCAGAUCUUUUUAAUUUAAAAAAUGAACCCUCAAUCCCCUUCUAUAAGUAGCUCUCUUUAGAGCAAGAAAAAGGGAUUUUUUAGGGGAUUUUGGAAUUUUUUUUCACUGGCAACUCCUUUCCUUUGUGGGUUUUCCUCUUCUUUCUCUUUGGAGUUUGAAAUUUUAGAAGCAAAAGGGGUUCAAAAGUUUUUAUUUGAAAAUUUGGGGUUAGAGAAAAUAUUCAAAAAUUCAGAAAUACACAAAAAAAAGAGGGUUAGAAAGGGGGGCUCUCAGAGGGAAAAAAUAUUCUCUUUACGCCCAAGAAACAUACAUUUUUAGGAGGUGCGUCUGAACUGUCGAAGCAGUUGUGAGUUUUUCGGUGGUUGGAAUCCUAUCGUCAGCUCGUUAUACCAUUUUGCUGCCCCGAAAGAGGUAAAUACACCUUUCUUUUUAAUUUUGUUGUGGUUAUCAUUUUCUUCUUCGUGGUUCCACUUCUGUUUGCUGGGAAUGACUGCUGUAGAGGCCUGAAAGGCAUAGGAUUUUCAUUUUUGAUAUAUUGUUCUACUAAAAAACUCAUUCUUGAUCAUGUUUGAUUGGUUGUCGUUCAUUCUUAAUCUCUCUCAUUUUAUUCUGUCUGAAUGUUACUAGUUAGCUUUAAUGCUUCAACUUUAGAAACUAUUUUACUGGUCUCAUAUUUGUUGUUGCUUUGUAGUUCAUAGAGUAGGAGAGUAACAUAUUUACGUAUUUUCGAAAUUCGAAAAAAUGUUCAAAGAAUAGAUAUUAGGCAGCCUGUUUGCAUAUCUUUUUCGCUCAGACGUAGGAAAUUGUUAUAAAUAAGAACUCCAAUGUUAUUUUCUACCGACUUGCCACUCUCGAUGUACGAUAGUCUCAUUUGAUUCUAAAGUUUAUUUUAAAAUAUGAGAGUGGACCAUAGGUCUGAAUUAUGUUUUCUUCAUGGCUAAUUCAAUUUGCUGUAAUUGACUCAUGAGAACAAAUUAAAGUUUGACGGGCUAAUGUUUCUUUCCUUUCUUGCUUUUCUUGUUCGGAUAUAAGCUGUGGCAUCUUGUCUUAUGAUUAAAUUACCUAAAAUUAGGUUUAUGUAGUGUUAGAAUCUCAUUUGUUUGUUAACCCAGUGGUAACGAAGGUAUUAAGAUUUCAGCCUUGCUUUUCUUGAAGUUUCAGCUAUCGUAUUCCUUGCCUAAAGUGAUUAAGUCUUUAAUUUUGUAUGUUUGGCAUUCUGGAAUUUGAAAGUUGCUUGUGAUCUAUCGUUUAUGUAGUAUGAUCUAGGAUUUGUAACUCUUUUUUGUGACAUGCUUAAUUGGGUCCUUUUGUGGCAUUAAAGUGAUAAAUUAUUUUCUUUAUUUUGCUAAAGACCAUAAGAAUUUCUUGUUGAAGCUUUAUUUCCUCCUGUAGUUGAAAUUUCUUUAAUUGAUUAUUAACAUUUUCUUCAAACAUAAUAGACUUUUUAUCCUAUGGCAUUUUUACCUGUGUAUGAGUGUAUUUGAAUGAAGAAGGAAUGCUAUAGCUUAUUAUAUGUUAAAAUCUUGGACGUAUGUUAAUUUCUUCAUUCCUUUCUUUACAUGUUCAUUCCUUUCUUUACAUGCACCCCCUUUGGAGUUCAAAUGGACCCCUUCUCUCUUUGCAUUUCAUAAAUGGGCCAAUGAGGCCUAUCCUUCUGAGUUAAACCCAAAAGAAAAUCCAAGAAUCCAUCACAUGGCGUAUGGAUACAAGGAAUCGAAAUAAGAAUGGGUUAAAGUUCAAUCUUUGAAGCGGCAAAGGGGACUUGAAAAUCUCGUUAUUUCUUAUUUAUUGAUUUAUUUAUCCAUUGUUUUCAUUAUUUAUUUAUUUAUUUACUUAUUUAUAUUUUUUUUUAUUUAGUGACUUAUUUAUUUAUUCAUUCGGGCCUCGAAGCCAAAGUUGUAAAUUUAAAACAGGUGGAGCGAGACUCGAGCUGAAAAGGGCUCAAAAACAUAAAAUUAAGACAGGUGAAAGAUGGGUCAAAAACCUAACUAGAUUAGGACAGGAUCGACUGUUUGGGCUUGAAAGCCUAAAUCACUACUUCCCCCCUUUCCCUUUUUUCUAUUUGCUUACUUGUUUUACGUGUGUUUUGCGAACCUAGUAAAAUCCUUAGUCAAGUCGCUAAAAAAAUUGGUUUUGCAUAAACACCAAAAUAUUCCUAAAAUUGCUUUUCUUUUCAAAAAAUACACUUUUUCAAAGUUAAUCAAAAGAUGAUUUUCAAACAGUCCGGAUAACCGCAAGUUAGCGGACAUUUUAGGUGCCUAAUACCUUCCUAAAACGUUAAUAGGAACCGCUUAUCUUGAAUCUCUAACUUAAAACGAUUUUUUUGUUUUGAAUCGUUUGCAGUAACUCUCUAAAGGUUUCUUAUUUCCUUUUCAAAAUUAAGUGGCGACUCUCAAAAAGUCAAAAUUUCCACAAAAAAAUAUCAACCACAAUCACAUCCACACAUCUACUACCCCCACCCGAAAGUAGUAGAAGAAUAAGGGUUUGUAGUAAUUCAAGUACCUUAUCCUCUUGACGCUUGCACUUCUUCUCUUUUAGUUCAUUAACAAAUUUGUUAAAUAUUUCAAGCAGCAAGCCCUCACCACCCAUUAUUCUGUAAAAUAAUAACAGCAAAGAAAUUCACAUUCAAUGUUACGGCAUAAUGAGAAUCAUGAGAUUAUGAAUAAAAAAGUAAAAAUCCAGAGCAUUUCAUUUUAUAGACAAAGAGGCUAGACAAAUUGAAACUAGAGAUUUAGCAGCAUACUUCAUCAGAACCGUGAAACAAUCACAAAUGCCAGCAAUUAAAAAACUAAAACAAUCACAAAUGUCAGAAAUUUAAAAAACUAACUGCUAGAGCUAUUAAACGCCCAGUGUUGGAACAACUAAUAAUUGACAUCAACCAAUUUCUAGAGGGAUAAGUUCAACAUUAAAAAUCACUUAGCAAAAUGGUAAUUCAUGCUAAUACUAUAAAGAAAUAGCCUACCUAAAUGUUGAGGAAUAUAAAACAACAAAUCAUUCAACACAGCUAUUAUUCUAAGGUACAUUCUAGAACUAUGUGAAUUGCUGAGUUUAGAAUAUUGAAGGAGUUGGUCCUUGAAAAUAAUAUCAAUUAUCAUUCUCCAAUAGUCCUUGCAAUCGUGUUACGAAUUCUAGAUCAAUAAAAGCAAAAGAAGCUACUUGCCUAUCUCUGAAGAGGGAUUUCCAGUCCUCCCAUUUCGACGAUGCAGUAAUUUCCUGCAACCAUAGCAAACAAAUAGAUUAUGGUUUAAAGGAAAUAUCAUGGGAUCCCAUCCAUUGCAAUGUGAGAGAUUGUGAACUGUUUUCUAUAUCUUUGAUGCAUGAAGGAGUUCAUAGAACUCAUCUGCUAGACGUUUACGCUUUUUAGCUUCUUUUUCUUCUUUCUCCCUGGCCCUUUCCAGUAACUCCUCAAAGACAAACUAUGCAGAUGAAAUAUGCACAUUCAAUACUCAAUGACUCGACAAGCCCAAACGCGUAGAACAUAAAGUUUAUAAAGGAAGUAUGGAAUAAGAUUCAGUAUAAUCCAUGUAUGUCCUCUUAUUCCUUCGUUUGAAAGGCAAGGGUGAUAUAAUGUAAGACUAUUAUUACCAUCUUUUGGAGUAACUCCUCGCAUUAUAAUAUUUGAUAAAAUGCUUUAAAAUAGUUUUGAGCUAUUGAAAGUAAACUAAAAGCCUUAAGAGACCCAACCGUCUAAGCAUAAUUCUUCGACAAGAUACCCCUUGCAAUUCCCUCUUCCCACAUACAUAGAUUAUACGCCAUGACCAUAAAUAAACUCCAAAAUUGAAAUGAUAUAUGAAGAAUAUCCUCAUUACAAAAAAAGAAAAUGAUCGUUGAUAUCAUCCAUUUAUGCUGUUUAACCACUUUCGCAGAGUAAAACUCUUAUCCACUAACCGUAAAAAUAGAAAACUACAACGCAAAUUGCUUUGAAUUAAGCAACUUAAGAUAUGUGCGGUAGGUGUAAUAUUAAACACCGCCAUCCAGGAAAUAAAAAGUAAGGAAAAUGGUACCAAAACUAAAGAAUUGGAAGAAAAAGAUAACACCAAAUAUUUGAUCAAUGUGGUCCUCGUCUUUAUUCUUGAAGGUUUCAGGCUUACUUGCUAACCGACACACUACUCUUCUAUUAACUCCAUUACUAGAAGAUCCAGAUUUAAUGUGGGAUAGGUUAUGGUUGAUACUAAAGGAAAAUUCCACUAACCACAGUUGACUACCUACGAUUUGCCAAUUUAGCAAUCACAAACUGACCGACUUCCAGUGAAACAUAACAUGGAAGUACUACUAAUGCUUUUGCACUCAAUCCACUCAUCUUAUGCAGGACCUGUCCCAAAGACAAAAAGGGGACAAAUACAUAAAAAUCCAUUUAACGAAUGGGGUACUUCAAUUUUCACAACAUUCAAUUCAACAUAGGUCGAUGUGAAACAGUAUACAGUGCUUAUCCAUAAUUAGACCUUUAAGUUGGUAUCUGACAUUGGUGGAGAGCUAAUAUACUUGGCGAUUGCAACCUUAAAAUCAUCAAGCAUCCAGGCUAAUGUCAAUCCAAUCUGAAAGUAGACAUGGCUCAGCCAAAAUAUUAGGUACUAACCAAAGCACAACAGAGGUUAAAAUGAAGAGUGGUGAUUACCUCGGCCAUCCUAACUGCAUCUUUAAUUUGUGACUUGUCAUCAAGAUACUGAAGCAACAUACAAGUAACACAAAUUCAGAAUGCUUAUCAGUAACAAAAAUAGGAUACCAAAUGGAGCUUUGUCCAUGCAUUUGAGUUACCAUAAAGUCUAUAAAUUACAAGCAGGGUGAUGGGGAUGAAAUUUCUUUCAUGAAUACCAACAUUUCUCCACUUGUUCAAAGUCAUCUACAAUNNNNNNNNNNNNNNNNNNNNNNNNNNNNNNNNNNNNNNNNNNNNNNNNNNNNNNNNNNNNNNNNNNNNNNNNNAAAAAUGGAUAGCAUCUCUGUUAACAGCGCUUUCAUUAUAUUUACUUAAUAAGAAUCAUUUAUGCACACAAACAGUAAUACAAACUUUAAAGAUAGAAGUUGACAUCAUUAUCUGACAAGGGAAAAAGAAAAAAUAUUCAGCAUCUGAGUUUAUGUAUAACUCUCAACAUCCCAUAGCAAGAGCCUAACUCAAGAAAACAUUUCCAAAUCCAAUCAUUGAAUAAGAGUACGAACAGGAUCAUUAUCAUGCUAGGAUACCAGGUAAACUCCCUCUUUCAUCAAGCAAGGAGAUAAAUGCUAAUAAAAUUUGAUCAUUCAACUUCAAUUCUUUUCAGAAAGGGCAGAGGAUGAAACAAUAUAUCGUUUAGUUAGUCGCAAUGGUGUAUUACGGCCAAAAAAAUCAUAGUGAGGGAGAUGCAACUUUAUUUAGAGAAACAGAGAUGCUCUCAGGCACUUUUUCCGAGGCUAAUCUUUUCUAAGCCUUUACUUUCAUUACAUCUCAACUACCUCUUCAGAGGCGAAUUCUGGCACUAAGUUUUUUUAGUCUAAGCUAUAUGGUUGACAACACAAUAUAUUUUGAAUUGGGUUUUAAGUUGCAUGAUAUCAUCCGAAGUGAAAUCAAAACUGGGGUGUGGUACAAAUGGACAAAACAUGGCCAAAACUUGACCAGACAAACUACUUUCAGGUCUCAUUUGUUUGCACUUAUUGGAUUUAUGAACCUGUUCAGACCUCAAACCAUUAAGUGCAUUUGUUUUUAUUAGGAUUUUAGCUCUUAAUAGGUCUGAGUAGGUCUUAAUCAUUCAUAUGUGGAACCAAGUCUAAAUAUCAUUUACAGAUAUUCUUGUGUAGGAUAAAAUUCACCACCACUUUAUCCACAAUCACCUGGCACCACCACCAACCACUUCCACCAUCACAACCAACAUCACUACCAACUACACUACCAGCCGCUACCACACCUACCACUUCCAUUAUUCUAAUUAUAUCCACCUCCAACUAGGGGUGUUCAAGGUUUGGUUUUUAACACAACUUAACCGCGAUACAAACAAAACCGAUUAAAAAAAACUAUAUUUGGUUAGGUUUGGUUUGGAUUUGAAUUUUAAAAGACCGAUACUAAUUUGAUUUGGUUUGGUUUGGUCUUACUCUAAAAUAACCAACAAAAUAACCAAAACGAACCAAUAUACAUAUAUAUUAUAAUUAUUUAUAUGUUUUUCAUAAAUGUAAUCUAAAUAUUUGUUACAUUUUAUAUUUUAAUCAUGAUUUAACUUUAGUCGUAACACAUUCAGUCAUGUGUCUUCAUCUAGUUGACAAUACAUUAUGAGAUUCUAAAUGAAUUUCAUAUUUUGAAUGACAAAUGAUACUAAUUGUGAAAGUAAUAUCUUGUUAUAUAUUGAAAUUUACAGCUGAAAUUUAUUAGACUAUACACAAUCACUAAUUUUAACUUUCUUUUGAACCUUGUUGAGCAAGAAGUUUAUGUGUUCACCUUUUGGGGGUUUAUCAUAUCAUUCUAUUAAAUAUAGUUUUAAAAUAUUUUUUAAAAGCGUUCAUAUGGUGUUAUCAUGGCUUUGCCGAAGUAUAACACUCAGUUGACAUCAUAGUUUCAAGAUUGAGAUACAACACUUGGUUGACAUCUCAUAUGUUAGAUUUGAUUUGUUUUUUAAAAAUUUCAACAUAUAUCAUUAACUAAAGUUAUAAACUAAAAAACCCGAAUCAAACCAAACUAAACCGACAAGAACCAAACCGAUGGUUAUUUUUUUGUUUGGUUUGGUUUGGUUUUAGAAAUUUAAAAACCAAUUAAUUUGGUUUGGUUAUGGUUUUGACCACUAACCGACCCAUAUUGACCCAUGAACACCCCUACCGCCAACGUCGCCACCAUCAACUGCUACCAGUUGAUCCCUGCUACCGACCAACUCAUCUAUCAGAACUACCACUACCACUAAUAACCACCUACACAUCAUCAACUUCCACACAUCACUAACAACCACUAACACAUCAUCAACUUCCACACAUUCUUCGGACACCAUCACCACCACUGUCACCGGCGUCACCACCUCUACCACCAGCAUCCGCUACACUCGCUACAGUAUCUGUACUAACAACCAUUCAACCAUCACAGCUAACAGUGUCUCCAACAACCACCAACACAUCGUCAACCAUCAUGCAUACAGUUUUUCAUCACCACGAUCAACACCUUCAACUACUAACAUUAACCAACUUCACAUCACAACCACCACCACCACUACCAAUCGCCAAUAUUAUGACAGUAACUACAAUUCCAACUAUCUCUACUAUCACAACUAUUAUCACCAACAUUGCUAAUCACUAACAUCAAUUAAUUUAUUACAACCACCACCACCAUUACAAACCAUCUCCACUAUCACUAAUAAACAUAAAUGUUUCCUUUUUUAAUCAAAUAAUAAUUUUAUUGCAUUAAAUUAAAAAAAUUUCUAAUAAAUAAUUAAAUUAUAUUUAGAAAUAAAUAAAUUUUGCAUAUUCAGAUAUUGAGAAACACCCAACCUUAAUCAUUUAGUUUUCAGAUCUAGAGACAAUAUCUUAACCAUUCAGAUGUGCAUUCAAAAUGAUUCAAAUGUCUAAAUAUUAAUAAAAACAAAUGCAGUCUUAGCUGAAACACAAUAGUGUGGUUGUGUGAUACUUUAAAGGAAUCCUCGAAAGUCAAAGAAACUACAUGAAAACAUGGAAGUUUGAUGAUCACUUCUCAGAGUUGUUCUGCUCGAGAAACUAUAACAAUUAAGGUAACAUAACCAUUAACAGCAUUCAACGGAGGAGAAGUCAAUUACAUAUGUCUGUGAAGUAGUAUUUAAUAUAGCUUGGCUAGAUUGAAAGAAUCAUCUAUAUCUAUACUACAUUAAAAGCAUGGAACCCCUAACUUAAAAGUUUACGACAAUAUGAUUCCUAUCAGCAUAAAUACGUACUAUCUAGUAAAAAAAAAGAGGAAACUAAUUGGCAUAAAGAGAAACAACACAGAUGUUUAAUAGGAACAACCGAUCAUUGUUCUUAUCUCAACAAAAUAUGUGUUAUUUAAAAAAAAAAAAAGCAAGCAGAGGGGUAACUCUCAAAUCUCAAUCUCAUGCUUUUAUCCUACCAAGUAUGUUCUAUUCUUUAAUGCACAACAACAACAACAACAACAACAACAAACCCAGUAUAUUCCCACAUAGUAAUGCACUAACUUACUUUUUUACCCAAUGAAUUGAACUUUUUAGUGAGGAUCUAAAUGAUUUUCAGACUUUGUUUAACAUCUGAUUCAUUAAGAUAUAUUAACAGGUUGAAUCUUUUUUUAAAAAAAGCACUUAAUAGGCUGAUAUCUGAACCAUUCAGAUCCAAACCUUCAUUAAGUGAAAGCAAAUGAAAAGGGAUUGUAGUGUAAAGUCUAUAAAUAUGGGUUAGUGUAACAAAUGUAGUUGACACAAUUCAAUACUCCUAUUAGCAACCUAUUUCACCUGUUUCUCCAGCUCAUCCAUAACAUCUGUAAAUAAGUAGUACCUGGAAAAUCUCCAAGCGAUUGAUUUUCUCAAGGCAGGAGCAUCUUUCAUCAGUUUCCAAGCGGUCCUGAACUUUCCACCACUGGCUACUAGCCUGAACAAAAGAAGUCAGCAACAAUGGAACUAUGGAAGUUCUAUCUUCUUGAAAUAGAAAAACAUAAUCUAGGAACUGAUGCUAAGACCACUAGAACAAAUACCUUAAUAAAGUCAAAGGAUUUUAAAAAUUCUAAGUACUCCACUCUAUUGCGCUUCUGCUCCUCCAAUGCCUUCGCAUGCUUCUGGUAAAAUCCAGUACAAAGUAAAAAAAAUAAAAUUUCUCUUUAAAGAAAACAAUAUGGACAAAGAGACUGUAACUACACUUUCAUGAAAGUAACGAAAAACUCUUCCUGUUUUACGAUGGAGAGGGGAGAGGAAGAAGCAUAUCAUAGUUUCAAGUUUCAAGAAAAAUUACAUACAAUACAUGGAAGUCUAUUUAUAUUAGAAUUCAAUGGUGAACAAAUUUAAAUCUUGUACCCUUGAGAAGCCAUUAAAAAUGUAUUCAAAGAACACAAGAUUUUAAGUUGAAUAUCUACAACAUUCCUUCUUUCUACUCUUUAAGCAAAACAAAAAAAGGGAACAAACUAAAAGACAUCCUGCAAAGGAAAGGAAUGGAAUGACUGUUGUUAAUCAAGUGGACCAGUGCCAAACUCAACUUCAAAGUCUAGGUCAGGUGGUGAAGAAUGUCCAAGAUCAUAUAAGGAAACUACAGCACAUACACCUUACUAGUGUGGGAUUCUCAUACAUUAAUCGAACACCAAGACUAGACAUUUGUAGCAUCAGUUAACCUAGGUUGGCUAACAUCUAAUAGUCUAACAUCAAGAUAGAUCUGCCUCUAAUACCAUGUUUAAGAAAUUGGACCUUGUUUCUAUCUCAAAUGAAAGGCUAACUUAAUUUGUGAGGAGCCAAAGACCAUAUAAGGAAACUACAAUCCGCACACUUUGUUUUUAACAUAUAGAAGCUUACAAGAAAGUUCUGCAAAAGAAGCAUCAACUUUUUAUCUUAUUCCUCCACAUAAUCUUCAAAAAGGUCCCCACAGUCUUUAGCUCGCUCAACAGCUUUAAAAUGUUCAUCAUGUUCAAAUAUGGAGAUUGCCUUACUGAAUAAUCAAUAGCAAAUAGUUGGUGGAUCAAAUGGAACUUACAUAAGUAAUGGAUCAACUUCAAGGUACCAAAACACAUACAAACAAUGACCAAUAUUAGAAAACAAGCAACAGACAACUUAACAUUACAAGUGAAAGACAAACCUCCAUCUUGAUGAUGGUGACAGCUCCUUGCAAUCCUGUAAGAUUGAGAACAACGGACAUUGUUAUGAAAAAUACCACUUAUUCUUUUGAACAAGUCAAAUACCAGUCACUAACACAUCAUGAAUAUUAUGAUAAUAUCUUUUUAUUUUUGAAACUGGUAAUGUGAAUAUCAUGAUAUAUCAAAUAUAAGACACCCACAAAAGAAAAUUUCACUUACUUUUAAAAUUACCCUGAAAUCUUCCCGAGCUUUUUUCUGUUUAACACGCCUCUCUUCAGCUUCUAGUUUUCUCUUUUGGCUCAAAUACUGGAACAGACACACGACUUCAAAAUGAUCACUAUAGACCUUAGGUGUGUUUGGUAUGAAGGAAAAUGUUUUCCUAGAAAACAAGUUGGUUUCUUACUUGAUUUCUUAUGUUUAGUUGAUGAAAGGAAAAUAUUUUUUAGAAAAUUUUUUCUAGUGUUUGGUUGGUGAAUAAAAAAAUAUUUUUCAGAAAAUACAUUUGAGAGUUGUAUAAAAAUUUCAACUUAAGAGUGAGAUUGAAAGAGAGUUUUGGAAAAUGUUUUUCCUACUUUUGGAAGGGAAUUCAUUUUCCUUAAAUUUAAGAAAAAUAAGUUGAUUUGGAAAACAUUUUCCAAAAUAUUUAAGUCAACCAAACAUGAAACAAUUCAAUAUCAAACACAAUCUAUCUUUUUGCAAUAUGGUAUGCUGAAACAUUGAGGCAACAAUUAACCAUUCCAAUGCCGACUUGGAGAGAUACCUCAUUAAAAGCUUGCUUCUGCUCACAAAGGGAUUUUACAGCACCAUAUCUCCGGUCAUUAAUUACUGCUCUCAUGGCCUGACUAAUACAAUUCAUGUCAAAUGAUCUCCCUCAAUUGUUUGGUACGCACAAAACACUCAAGUAAUAAACCUGAUUCCACAUGCAAUCAGACCCAAUAUUUGCAGAUUCCAAAAGAGUUUUGAAUGUACUCUUUUCCUCCUAAAUAAAAUCAGAUACUUAAAAUAGAAAUAAGAGAAAUUUCGAGAACAUACAUUAAACGAGACAAAAAGCAAUAAUCAACUAUACCGCUUUGCUCUCAUAAACUAAUGGUCCCAGCUCGACUAUUUUCUCAUCUGAUGGAGUAGUACCUCCGAUUUCAGUUAUUACAACAUCUUUCUUGACAUUCUGCAUGUUAGGCACAACAUCAAUCACAAAGGACAAAAGCAAACCUCAUUGGAAUUUGUAGCAUAUUCUUCACCUGUUAGCAGUUGACUAACAACUACACUACAAAAUUGUUGGAUCAACAUCCAGCAUAACAGCUAUGAAAAGCUUUCUUGGUGUUUUAACCAGUAACCAGUAGUAAUUAACUAAUUGCAUAAGUAUUUCAGAAGGACAAAGUACCUCUCUAUUCUUCGAAGAAAAUCCAUCACCAUACACUACUGUAACUUGAGUUGUAGUAGUCUCAAAACUACAGAAAAAUUGAAUUCCAAAUAAGAAGCAACAUAAACCAGAGGCAAAUUUAUAACAUAUAAAUCUGAAAACAUGCACCGGUGGCGCGACAGAAUUUCCCAAGGUUACUGCUAUUCCAAUUUUCUCUGAAUUAGCAACAGCUGGCAAAGCAGGUUCUGAAGAAUUCUUCAUUUCAACUGUUCCAAUCAUCGGAGAAGAAACAUUACCAGAUAAACUUGAUGAUUCUAAAGCCACAAUAGUUGGUAAGUUAGCAGCUGGUGACACAGCAAUUGGGCUUGAUUUAGCAUCGUGUGCCGAGACUAAUAAACCAUCUGCACCCGGGGAUGAUGUUUUAACAACAGAAAUGGAUCCAAAAUCAGAAGCGUGCAAAUUCUCUCCAGGACUUGUAAAUUCUCUCCAGUAAGUUGAUGCGUCUGCCUUCUGUCCCAAUGAAAACUGAAUAAAAGUAGGUUAAGUCAAAAAAUAGAACAUAAACAGUACCCUGAGAGUAGAAAUCAAUAACUUCCAGCAGUACAAUACUGGAUGGAAGUGUUAGAAUAUGAAUGAUAUAAUGUCCCACAUAAAAAAGGACUAGCAUGUACUGUGUAGAAUAUAACUACAAGCAGGGUGGAAACAUUGCCAAGCUGCGGCUGAGCUACAACUAUCCAAGGGUGAUCAACUCAACAACAUUCGCUUGAUAAUCGUAUUUUGUAUAUAUAUAUAUAUAUAUAUAUAGGUCAAAUUCUGUCGUUUCUAAGUAUUUUUUAAUGAACACCCUCGCCACAAAAAACAAGACGGAGUGUGACAGUAAGGGUGUUCAAAUCUUGCAAUGAGGUUCUAAGUUCCAUACUCAACACAGCCCCCCCAUAAUUUUUUUUUUCAUUUGGACACGUUUGAAACUCAUAAACUACAGUUAUGCUUUUUUUGAUGAAUCAAUUUCUGAACAUGUGUUUUUUGUCCCAAUUAGCUCUUACAAAAGAGCUAGUAACUAGCAUGCCAGGUAUCAGAAUUUUGUUAAAAUAAACUUAAAGGUAAAUUUAUAAAGUGGUUGUUAUACUAGCUAUCUUGCAUGGGGCAGAGUGUUUGGCUGGUCAAGAGCUCGCAUGUUCGAAAGAUAAACGUAGAAGAAAUGAGGAUGUUGAGAUUGGUGUGUGGGCAUACUAGGAGAGAUAGAAUAAGGAACAAAGAUAUGCGAGAAAAAGUGGUAGUGCUCUCUGUGGUGGACAAUUAACAAGAAGACUAGAGGGUUGGGGAUAAAGAACCUAAAAAUUCAAAGUAAGGCUCUCGUGAUGUAAUGGUUUUGGAAAUAUGCAAACAAUAACCAGCUGCUAUGGAGGAAAGUGAUUGGGACUAAAUAUCCUGAAGAAGAUAGAUGGAUAAAUAAAGAAUUGACCACACCAUACGGGAUUAUCCUCUAGAGAUCUAUUAGACAAUAGUGGAAUGAAGUUAAAAGAAACUCAAAGGUUAAAGUGAUGGAUGGAAACAAGACUAGGUUCUGGAAGGAUAAUUGACAUGAGGAUGGGAAUAUGGAAGUUAUUUUUCCUGAUAUCUACAACUUGGUAUUGCUUCAAUAGAGGACUAUAGCAGAAUUAUGGACACCACAUGGGUGGAACUUCAAUUUCAGAAGGCAACUUAAUGAACGGGAGGUAAUGAGAGUAGUUGAAUUUUUUAAUACCAUGGACUUAUUCAAUGGACUGCAAACAGUGAAGGAUGUACUAUGGUGGAUGGGAAAUGAAAAAGGAAUGUUCAGUGUCAACAAAGCCUACAAGAUAAUGAACCAAAUAAAUCACCCAGAUCCAAGAUGGCCAUGGAAGAAAAUAUGGAAAAGUAGGAUACCUCACACAGUGUCGUGCUUUGUCUUUGUCUGGUUACUAACCAAGGAAGUAGUUCUUACACAAGAUAAUGUCAUGAAGAAAGGAAAAACCUUGUGCUCCAUAUGUUUCCUCUGUGGAGAAACUUAGUGAUGGUUAACCAUGUAUUUCUACAUUGUAAGUACACCCAACAACUUUGGAGAAUCGUCUCAAGACUAAAAGGCAUUUCCAGGACAAUGCCUAGGAAAGUAUCCAAGACUUUAAUAUGCUGGGAGAACCAGGUGUACAUGCGAAGAACAGAGGUAGAUGGAGAAUUAUCCCUGGUGCUAUAUGGUGGGCUAUAUGGAAAGAAAGGAAUUCUAGAUGUUUUGAAAGCAUAGAGAAUAGUGUGCAGAAGGUUAAACUCAAUUGCAAUUUUGCUUUUAUGUUUUUAGUGUAAUCAACUAUACUCUAAUGAUAUUACCUCGAUAAUUGAUGUUCUAGACUAAAUUUAGAGAUAGAACAGUUGAUUUUGGAGUACUCUUGUAUAUAAAGGUUUCAGUACAACCCAUGUACUGUGUGAUAUAAUACAAAGUUGCCAAGUUCAAAAAAAAAGAUAAUAAUUUUUCAAGUACUAAAAGUUUAUAAAAUAACAAAUAAAGCAAUUAAAUCUGAGUUCAAAUUAGGUGGGUUGGGUUAUGACCCGAAUUUUAGAGCAUUUCAACCCAACUCGUUUCAGCCCAAGUAGCUUUAGGGCGGGUUAAUAACCCGCCCAUUUAUUAACUCAGACCUCUUUGAUCCGCCCAAAUCCAGCCAACCCCGCCCAUUCGACACCUUUAUUUUAAAAGAAGUAAAGUGGACCAUGCCAGAACACAUACCAGAUCUAUUGAGUUGAAGUAAAGUGGACUAUCAAAGGACACACAACAAUCUGUUGAGUUGUUGGAUUAGUGGGGAUUAAAAAGAGUGAGAAGAAACGGGGGAGAACAAUCCUUCCUUGUAUUUGGUGGACUGUAUGGAGCGAGAAAAUUUGAAGGUAUUUUGAAGAUAAAUAUAAUUCCAUUCAGAAAGUUAAAUGAAAUAACAUUGUAGAUUUUUGUUUAUUGUUUAAGGGCCAAUGUGUACAGGAUGCAUAACAGGUAGUAGAUCUCUUCGAAUCCUAGCAUUAUUUUCAUUAUUUUUCAUUUCUUUUGGACUGUUAGCAUAAUCUUAACGCUGACGAAUACAAAGUAAUAUCUCUGAAAAAAAACUGUUUAUCUGAAAAAAAAAAGGAAUAAAAAUGUUCAAACUUCCUUACAGCUCCAGUUGUUGGUCCCUUAAUACUUGUCCCUCACAACCAGCCAAACUUUCUUUGAUAACCGUCAUGUUUGGGCCAGCUUGCACCUUGACUAGUUACACCAGGUACUGCUACCUCCCACCAGCACAGAUACUAGGUAACUCUGUCCAUCAAGGCUUGGACAGACGGUAAGAAAUCACCUAGUGUUUUUAUCUCUGUUGGAAAUUAAACCUGAGACCUCAUGGUUCUCAAUCUACUUCAUUGACCACUAUGUCACACUUUUGGGUGCAAGUGUGCAACCAGCCAAACUAUUAUUCUGUAAACCAGAAUGAGAAGUGUCAACCACAAUAUUAUAUCAAGUUUCCUCUCUCCAUAUCAUCAUUGAGUUACAAUAACAUUACAUUAAUCAGAAAGUAAAUAAAAUUGUUUAAAAUAGACCAAAUAUAAUCCUGUCGUGUAUGCUUAAACACAUUUUUUAGAACAAUAGUGUUAAAUAUAAAAUCUUUUAGAACUAUAUUAGAAAUAAAAGGUCAAUGCAAAUCCCAAAUGAAGCCUACAUAGUAUAGUAAGAUCGAGGAAAUUUGCUCGCUAAACAAAUUUUCAACAGAAAUCACAUAUACUUAGGAAAGAAAAAGAGUUUCUGCGAAGCUUCAUAGAAAAAGAAUCAUGUACUUCUUUUUCAUUGAUAAGCACAGGAAACUGGAUAAAACUACCCAUAAAAAUCUCGAUGACAUGAGACCUCACCUCCAUUUCUGUCAUUAUCUCUCGAGGUUUCUCCCAGGUAGAGAUUCUUGUCCUUCUAUUAUAAUAGUAUCUAAAAAUCAAUUCAAGAAUUGUAAGAAUGUUACUAAUUGGUUGGAGUAAUAAAGCCAUAGGAAAUAUGACAACAUUAGCAACCAUAACUGGCCUACUGAUCAUCAAAAGAUGCUGAAAAUAGCAAUACCUACUAGCAUUUAGACACAUGUAAAUAUGUAUGAUAAUAGAGAAAUGGGGUCAAAAUGAAGUUAUCGGUAGUGGUGUAUCAAGUUCUGCUGAUCAACAGUCAGGUAGAAUUUGGUAGCGGUGAACGGCAGCCCAUAUGAUAACUUUGACAAAGAGGACUGAAACAAAUGGGCCUAUUAUCUCCAGUGCUAAUGGAAGCAGAAUGAUGUACAAAGCACUAGAUGUGGAUACUUGAGGAUUUCUUGGCAGUGAUGGGGGCCAACAUAUCCACCACUUGUUCAUAGACAAGAAAUUAAGUGUUUGUCCAAAUCGGCAUGCUCUUUUUUCUGGAGAACACAAAGUGGUAAAAAGAUUGGAUCUAAAUGAAAAUGAUUGCAGAGCUCCUUUUCUUGUAUACUGUGGUUUUACACCUUUCUUGUUCACUGGAAUCUUAAUUUGCUUACAAAAAACUAUCAUAGAAUUCAAAUGUUGACACUCUCAGUCAACACACACCCAUUAACCCAUUAACUUAAGUAUGUUACUUGUUGACAACAUUUAUGCAAAACGGGUACAAUAAAACACAUUGAAUUCUUACUGGAAUAACCAAGGGAGUUGUUAAUUCUCCAGUCUUCUACAUAGUUGUCGCAGAAUUCACAUUAUGAUUAAUUAGUGGCAUCCAGGGUUAUACCCCUGAUGGAAACGUAUGAUUAUUUAUCUGUGUCUGAUACUGGGAGCCAGAAGAAUCAACAUUUACCUGCUGUUAAAGACGAUAACAAAAUGUAUUUCAUCAAUAUAUGAAUGGAACAUCGGAAACUUAUUGACAAUAACCAAAAAAGAUCUUCCCAAGGCCUUACAUUAUAUGAAGAAGAAACAGGUAAAUUUGGGGCACCAGAACCAGGCAUGUGGUUAUUUGACAUCGGAAGAUUUCGCUGAAAAUCAUGGGGAAUAGGUGGUCCCUAAGGAAUACUAUGCUUUCCUACUACAGGUCUACCAGUAACCUAUUGCAUAGGUUGAGGAAAUUGGAUUUGAGAAGGUUGAGACAUCGCAACAUUUGAAUGUCCAAGUGGCAGAAAUUAUUAAGAUGACCCGGAACCAUAAGGUUGUGCCUGUGGGCUGGAAGCAUAGGCUGAAACUGCUAAAGAUGUGGGGAAAAUAGUUAUCAUAAUGUCUCUACAUUCAAAAGUCAUUUAUACCUCCCCCGAGCCUCCACAACUUUACCUGCAAUGACAUGGAUGGAAUAGCACCAGGAGCAGGACCAGCCAGAGGAGGUAUAGGAGGCUUCUCAACCAAUAUCCAUGCAAGGAAGAACAAAUGAAAUCAGAAUUUAGCUACUUUUCAAUCAUAUUUAGUUAAUUUUCUAAUCAAUGUCGAAAGAUUGUAUCCAUGCGCAACUCCCUAAAUUAAUUUGAAAGACAAGGAAAGAAUUUUGAAGCCAAACCACAUAGUAACAUGAAACCAUUUUCUUCAUCUAAUAAAUAGAAAGCUUGAAACGAGAAUAAAGAGAGAUAGGAAAUAGAUGACCUAUCAUAGCGUUAGAAGAGAAUGGACAAAAUGAUAAGCAUCUUUACCUUAUGGCUUGGGUUCAACAUCUACUGAUGGUCUAAGUAUCUUUUCUUCGGGUGUAAAGAAGCACGUCUGUUAAUGCAAAACUAUGAUCAUGGAACUGAAACAUGAGGUAUGAGUAGGUAUUAGAAUAACUGAAAAAUACUGAGACCAGAAUGGGUUGAGCCUCACUCUUCCCUUCUGAUGUUCUAUGUCAUACUGACAUCACUACUAGAAUCUGAAAGCCUGACUUAGUUAUUCGCUCUAUCAUCUCCCCCUUAGCUUCAAGUCAUCAUAUUAAGUUUAGGAGAUCCCUUACUAGACUCUAAACUGAAGUACACUCACUGCAAUCUGGGGUUUGAAAAACUACUAUACACGCAUAUCAUGGCACUUAACCCAAAUGACUACACCUAAAAGUUGAAAACCCACUGUUAAUACUACCUUCUGAGAUACACUUUAUCAUUCUAUAGACCCAGUAGUCAUCAUAUAAUACUUGCAUACUUCUAACUUUGGGUCUUCAUAGGUAUCCCCAUAGUCGGAGUGCACACCCUCUAGUGCUUUAACUCUUAUUUCUAUUAGUUCAACCUUCAAAAACUCAAACUUAGAAUCUAGCUCUCAACAUGGAUAUCACUAAGACUUCAAUGAAUCAUACUACUUCCGACAUAGCCUACCAAUAUCGCGACUCCAAACUUACAUCUCUCUACUAUGAGAACUAAGAUCAUAUAAAAAGUCUCAACACUAUCAAUCAAACUCCUUAACUUGGCUAUUUAGAACGCCAUAUACCAUCUAACUAGUCUUUCUCCACCUAGCAACUCAACGGUACCACUCAUCACACAAAACGUGUAAUAGUCUUAGAAAAUACCGCAACCCCAGAUCACCUUGGGUAUACUUCUACAUUAUAUAUGCAACAUCAUACUUCACUACGAAUCAAAUAAACUUAAGCUCUUGCAUAUAUCUUUCAAUCCUAUUAGAUUACUUUCAUAAAACUAGUAUCAUUAACCAAGAAAUCAUCACAUCCACCUUCAUGGACAUCAAUUGUUCAAAACUUAAUGUCUAGUGCUAAACAUGAUUUUACAACCCAACCUUACACAUGAUUCUCACUUGGAUACCAUGAAAUAGACAUCAAGAAACACUAGUACACUAGAACUUCCAAACAAAAAAUAAUUGAUCUUGACCUUAUGGUGUUCCUUAUCAUAACUCAUUAGCACGUACUAUUUUAACACAUCAAGCCUAAUAAUUUUUUUCCCACAAAACAUACAUCAUUAAUCUCAUACCACUAUUUUUACCACCACAUUCUACAUUAAAUUCAAGCAUAUAGUCCUGUACCAAUCAUCUAUCACUACUGAAAAAUGCAACAUAAUAUGCUAGUCCAUAAAAUUUGGGACAUACUAUACAAGCGCCUAAAAAAUCACUACAUACCUUCUCACAAGUAGUACUAGUUUACAAUUACCAACGAAAACAAGGUCAAGGGGUAAAGUUACAUAAUAGACAUGAUCAACCUUAAUCUUAUAUUAUAACCCCAUACAAUCUUUUCUACUUAUACGGAUUUCUCACCUCAUACUUACAUACCCAAACAUACAUUUAGACUACUUUCAAAUUCCACAAACAACCAUGAGUCUAUACUUACAACUUACUGGCUAAUAUAGCCAUUUUCACACUUCAAGCAAUCGAGAAAUCACCCUAACUAAAAACUCCUUCUCUACCUUCUACUAAACUAACACACAAGGACAAAUCACCUCUUUACCAACUCAAUCUCAUGCAAACAGAUUCAGCUAUAUAUAUAUAUAUAUUAAACUAACACAAGAACAACAAGUUGGACAACAAGUUGCUAGUGAAUCGAAAUAGGCCUCACACAGCUUCACUAGACUUCGAUUUCGUAUUUUGAACAAGAAAAUGAGAUGAAUGACAAGUCAACUAUGCUAGUGAAUCAAAAGAUCCCCACAGAGCUUCACUAGACUUUAUUUUUUUCAACAACACCUUGAUGACAAGAUUACAUGAGAUACAAAUUUAAUAUGCAAUAUCCAAUGAACUAAGAAUACACAUCUUACUUUGUAUAAAUAAAAUCGGAGUCAAACACUUCCUCCACGAACUACCAUACCAUCAACACAUGCAACUAGUUACCACAUUAGUCUAUCACCAUAAGGAGGUAAAUCAUUCUCGAACAUCGGUUAUUAUACUAAAAUAUUCAUUUACACAAAAGUCACCCUCGCUCUGACUUCUAACUUUGUGACUUCACAUCACCAACUUCUUGGUCUAAUUUCACUACCAAUAGGUCAUGACAACAACACUUUAGCACAUACUACUAUUCGGGUAGAAAUAUAGUUCUAACAUUCUACUACACAUCAUCCCCCCUAAAGCAAAACAUUUGUAACAUAAAUUUGAAGGGGACUAAAUGCAAUUAAUACCUCAAGAUGAAAAUCACGAUUCCAUCAGGAUCAAUGUUUACAUCGGAAUCAAUACACAUUGAAGCACUAAUGGACUCUUCUCAAGUUCUUGCACAAAUUUUAACUCUUAUAUGGUUCAAUCAGAAAGGACCAUACCAUUUAGAUUCUAAACUUCUUCACUUGAAUCACCACAAUAAUGAGACAUAUCUGAGGACAUUAGAGUAAGGAAAGAAUUUGGGAUGUCUUUUUUUUUUUACUUCCGUAUGGGCGACACCAUAGCACGAAUUAGAGUAUGAAAGAGGAACAUUCUGACUCUAUUGCAUGAACUAGAACAUGAAGAAAGAGAGACAUUCCUAAACGCCUAGUAGCCUCCUACUUAUAAGUGUGGCGCGCUACACACCCAUAAACAAGACUCUACCCGACGCGAUUUCACAGACACCCUGGGACCAUGAACCGUGCUUUGAUACAAAGUUUGUCACGACCCGAACCGGGGCCCUGGCCGUGACGAGCAUUCUGAACAAUGACUAAAACAACCAUGUCCCACAAUAUAUAUCGACAUCUGAACAACCGUCAGCGAAAUCUCUAAUAUAUGACUGAAACAAAUUACUGUCUGAAAACUGGUCCCCAGUAGACCCAAAAAUACUAAAUGAUAAAUGAACUGACACAGAACUUCCGAAAUAUAGAAGGCUCACCACUUGAUUCUGCAAAUCUGUCGAAAGAGAUUUACUGGUUAUCUGAACCCCUAAACUAUGCCUCCAAACCUGGGAGAGAAGGGGGUCAAUAUAAAAGUACUAGUACGCAGAGAAACCAAAAACAAAAUAUAAUAUUUUUUUCCAAAUAUAGGUGAGAGCCAUUAUAAAGCAGUUCUAUAUCAAAUUAUUUGAAAACACAUGGGCACAAUGUAAUAGUUUUCAACAAUAAUGUAAUACAGCUGAGCUAGGUGGAAUACCCUGCAUAUAACAUUUACACCAACUGUCAAAUCUCGGUUGCCGCUGAGAUUAGAGUAUAAGUGAGAGGAAGACAUACAAGAUCACAUAGCAGGGUGUCUCGACCCAAUAAAGUAUAGUACUGCCCAAGAUCACUUAUCCUGGGCGCCUAACCAUAGUCCCAAUUUGGGAAUGACAUAAAGUCAAGUACACAAGAUCACUUAGCCAAGUACCAAAUCCCCAUAUCGGCAAACAUGGUUUCCAGCGAUGAGCCCUUACACUCAAACGCCUUCUUCGGGCAUCCACCUAUCUCAUGUAAAAUCAAUGCAUCAAACUCCAUUUAAUUCAAUCACAUAUCUUAUUCUGUAGGGUAUGGUCAUACCCGACUUACAAGCCAUCAAUAUCACAUCAUUCUUUCAUGCAACUAUUAUAUUCAUCAUAUUUCAACAUAACAACACUCUUAUUGUAAGUCAAAACCAUGACCAUUUUAAAAAUAUUUCAUGUCACGCUUGUCAAGAUGAUUUCAAACAUUUCAUAUCAUAUGAGAAUUUAAAACGAGAUCAUAUAAAAAGAGGGAUUUCAUAUAAUUCAUGCUCUCAAGUUAACAUCUUUUCGGAAUACAUGCAUAUACAUAUAUCAUAUAUCAAACCACUUCGGGAAUAGGCCUAAAGACCAAAUCAAUAUCAUAAAAUGUUUAAAAUGGGAUUAUAUUCAUAAUUUCAAAACCCCCAUUUUUAAAACAUAAAUUUUUAAGCCCAUGAGAUUUUUUAGAUAACCCCGCGUACCUCUAUAUGCGAAGAUGAUAGGUGCUUCUUGAAACCUACGUUCUAGGGAUUCCAACUAUGCAAUUCGUUUCAAAAACCCACGGUUGAAUCUUGAGUUGCUUAGGUUUUUAUUUUGAAACCCUCAGGAGAGUUCUUGAGAAAUUUUGAUGAAUGAAGGUGUAUUUUGGGGUAUUUUGGGAACUGAAUUUCGUGUUUAUGGCUAAAUAAGGGUGGAAAAAGGACCAUUUUGGCCCAAAAAUGGAGUGUUUAAGUCACUUGAGUAAUAAUAUAUGCGGCACAAACCUUAUCACAUAAUUUAGGUUGUGCGUCACACUCUUUAUCGCACACAUUAGAUUGUGCGUCGCACACCUUAUGGCAUAAGUUAGGGUGUGCGUCGUACACCUUAUGGCAUAAGUUAGGGUGUGCAUCGCACACCUUAUGCUGUACGAUACACUACACUUUGCAAAGCUAUAACUUCUUCCUCGGGUGUCAAAAUUUUGUUAAAUUGGUAUCGUUGGAAAGAUAAUUCGAAUAUCUUUCAUUUGAUAUAUAUUAGGAACUCUAAUUCAAUAUAUACAAAGAGUAAUGGUCGAUUGAAGUUGACCUAAGUCUCAACGCUCACUAAAAUUCGAAUGAUAGGAAAACUUUCAACUUGUCCUUGAGCUUGGGGACCUCUAUGAUCUCAAUUCAUGCUCAAAUAGGUUUCCACACUACAUAAUUUAUUAACACACUAAAUUUGCAUUGGAUUAUGGAUUUUGGAACCUUUAUGUGAAGAAAAUGACAAUUUUCGUUCUCGUCCGAAAUGCGGGGUGUUACAAAAUUUUGUUAGAAAAUGGAGUACAUUUUAGCUGCAUCGUACUCCAAAUACACUAAACUGAACUUUAAAAGUAAUAAUGCAUUUCUUACCUGUUGGUGUGUAGCAUUCAAAAGUUUUAUUGUCUUUGGUCGGAAGAUAGCCACAACGACGGUUUCAAGCAUGAAGAUUAAACUAAAAAGAAGCCAUGCUCGCUCUGGAGUUCCUGCUACAUGAUGCAAUAUUACUCUACAAUGUUGAAGCCACUUUCCUAAUCCUUGGAGUCUAAGUUCUUUCGAGAAUGAAAUAUGAUUAGGUAACACAUCCUAAACAUCAUUUGAAUCGGUGACAGGAGGUUUACUAUCGCGAUGUUCUCCAUCAGCAUCCAAACUACUUCUCUACAAUAAGGCUAGAAUCAUUGGGUCCAAUCCAUUCUCCUUCAGCAUCACUGCAAAAUUAGGAUCAAGCCCUUUAUCUUGCAAUAAAUUAGCUAAUUCAUGAUCAGUGUGUCUUCCUUUCCGCUUUAACAUAGAUGUAAUCCUCGGAUCACUCAACUUUUCUUGAAAUGCAAGUGCGAAAUUCAAGUCCAGUAUCUGUUGGUUUGCAGAAGUGGAUGUACUAGAAUCACAGCCUUGGCUUUCAAGGCCACUGCUAGAACAAAAAAACAAUGAACUAUUGUGCUCUAAUUUUCUGUCAACAUAUGAUGAUCCUACUUCAGUCUCUUGAACAACUGAACGAUAGGAACUACUACGUAGAGCUAGACUUAGUCUUUCACUGUCUAUGCUCUUAUCACUAUUAAUCCCCUCAAUAUUAUUCCAGGUACUGCCAUCACUAGUGCAAGGAACAAUUGCAUUAUCAAUAUGACCAGCAUCAGCACUACUACUACAUUUGAUACUUGAGCCACAACCCUCAGAAGAGCUUGCGGAGCUAUUUUGGUCAUUUCUGUGGAAACCUUCUCUAAGGCGGAUAACUGUGCUCUACAAGGCAUCUCGUCUAGCUGCUGAUGGGUCUGUAACUGAUAAAUGCCGUGAAACAGCAGCACCCAACAACACAGAUGUUACAAUUUCAUAACUGAUACAAUGUCCAAAGUACCUGAAACAAAAUUAUUGCAGUAAAAGAUUAGAAGAUUUUUUUUGAUAACAAAAGAUUAGAAGUUUCUAUUCAACAAAUAAUAUUAAAAGGGAUGCAUAUGCCACAAGUAUAAGAAGACUUAAUUAUGGAAGAAAAUGAAUUAGCAUGGGUUAAAAACAAACCAAUAAUGAACUCCAAAAUAGAUCAGGAACACUCGAGAUGUACCGGCAACAAAAAGUAUGAUGACUCGACUUUUCAGAAGCUUAAAGCCAUACAAGCAAACUCCUAAGUUCCAAUCUGAUUGAAUGAAAAGAUAGUGAAUUCAUUACUUACCACAAAGAUAUAAGAAAUUAUUUCACAAUACGAGUCAGAAAAGGAGACAGAUAUAUGUAGAAAAUGAACUACCAAGGAUUAUCACGGCAGCUGAUGUUGUAGCCCCAAGCCAGUUUGAUUUCUUUUCUGUCAGACCAUACAGGAUAGAAUACACAAGAAGUACUACAAGUGAACCAACAUAUAGAAGUCCAAGAUGCAGAGCCCUGCAGAGCCCAAGUUCAAAGUGAAGAAGGGUAAAUUAUAGACUUCAGAGAAAAUAUUGAAAAGAUAGUGCAGAAAAUAUGAUGAGCAGUAUAAAUGAGAACCCACUGAACACAUAAUAUAAUAAGGUACUUUCUAAUCUAAAGCAGCAUUUAAAUUAAUUUUCUUAGCAGUGGGAUUUUAAGAUCUACUAUUUUUACUGGACUACUGGAGAGUGUGUUUUGUUCUCUCAGAGUUUGUAUUCCUUUUACUCAAAUAGGUUUGAGUUACACCCAUUGUUUAGCGUUCUUUGGCUCUUAAUUUUAAAAGUCCAUUAGAAUGAUUAGAGGGCAGGGUGGAACUCCCUCAUAGCAAGUCAAAUGAAGUUUAAAACUAUAUAAAGAAGAUGAAACUAGAGGCUUCUGUAUGUGUCUCACAUACUUGGCAUAAACCAUGUGUGAAUGAGCACAACAGAAUCAAAUGUACUGAGACAAAGCAAGCAUUUGAUUGCAGAUCAAAUGGAAGAGUCUGCCAACCAACCAAAUUUAAGAGCAGCUCUGGUCCAUGCACCAUUUUGAGGUAAAGUUAUAUGGUUAAAAAUUUGGACGUUACUUAAUAUAUGCACAAACUGAAAAUGAACUGCCCAGUUAGACAAGUGCUUUUUGUAUCUACCCAGUGACAACCUUAGUGAAAGAAUACAUCAAUGAGAAGUUAACUCAGUAAGCUUAAUGAGCUUUCUCCUGCAAGGAAUGAAAGUGUGGAUGACCCAACAUCAAAUAUACGAUUAUUAUUAUACACACAAUCUCCAUACAACAGCAACAACAUACCCGAUGUAUAUUCGGGCCGAAUAUAUGCAAACUAUACCUCUACCUCAGAGACGAGAAAAAAAUGGUAGCACCAAUCCUCACUAAAUACUUCAUAACACAAAAAACAGCCAAUACUUACAAAACCAAAUAAAGCAAAAGAAGUUCAUUGUCUUGAUCACCAGCAAGUAAAACAAAUGUUUACAAUUGGAGAUUCAAAAAGGUUGCAAAAGAAAGAAGCAAACUUUCUAUUUAACAAGUAUCAAAGGGGGGAAAAUAAGAGUAAAACCAGUAAGUAUACGAGAAGUAUGAACACUAUAGUCAAUGAACAAAAUAUGAAUUGUAGUUUAGCCAUUUAGCAUCCAUCACUCCAACAGAGAAUUAGGUCUUGUAAGAAGGUCGAAAGAUUUGCCUAUCGAGUCUUUCAAGAUUAUGAUUUGACCCUCUUUCAUAAGAAAGUCUUCGUUGAGGGUAUCUACCUUCCUUUUCAACAUAUUGAUUCAUAAUUCAACGGCAUGUUCAUCUCACUGUAGCACUUAACUUCCUCCCACAUGAAAUCCCUCUCCUGAAACACUUUUGGUAGUAUCUCCUUCACAAUGCCAAGUUCCUUCAUGCAUUCUUGCAAAUCAUUAGUAAGCUGGUUGAUAUUUUCAUCCUUUUUUAGCAGCUGCCAGAAUCAACCGUAAACCAUGAAAAACAAGAAAGACACAAAGAUCACCAAUAACAUUUCAUCAAAAAUUCAAAACAAAACCAUAGCCUAGAAGUUCAACCAAAUCAUGAAUCCUUUUUAACUGUUAAAAUUCACAGUAGAUAACUCGUGAACUUGUCCAAGAAUUAAGUCAGAUGAACGAGCAAACUUACCGAAACCCCUUCGGGUAACUUUACCACAUCAGAGCAAAAUCAGAUCAAUGGGUUUGAGGAUAUCACAAAGUGUAUCAUGUUCUUGGUUGGUUCAACUUAUUACACAUUAAGGCGAUCAGACAUUUCAUAGAAGACUACCACAUGCCAGCAACUCAUGUAUACAAGUUCAUAAAGAAAAUCGUGAACUUCAGAUGGAACAAAGAUGAACCUAAAAUCAAACAGAAGUAGAAAGCUAAUGCAGAGAGAGUAAGAUAUGAACAGACUAUCAUAUAUGAAGACGAGGUAUCCAAAGUUGAAAAAUAAAAACUAUUUCGUUGCAAUGAGAUCUUAACAUUUCAUGCUUACCUGAAGCUCGAGAUAUUUCAACUUAGGUAUGGCAUAAGAAAGAGUGUCCAACGCAUUUCGCACUUCAUAUUUGAGAAUGUCGUUACCUCUAACUAUUGCGACUAGAUCAGCCUGAAGCUGCUUUAUGUCCAUCUCCUCGGAAUAGAGCUUCUCCCUUAGCAUAGUUGUUAGCAAAGUCUCUGAUUUAAGAUCUUUAACCUUUUCCUGGUAGUUUUCUCAGACAUAAUCUCUAUUGUCUUGAGCUACUCGAUAUUCCGUUUGUAACUGAGUGAGCUGCAACCUUAGAUUUUGAUUCUCCUCUGACACUUGCUCUAUUCUCUUAGACAAAUCUCCAAGGUAUUUCUCCGAAAAUGACAUAUUGAUUCUAUUAUCUACUUCCUUCUCAUUAAAUAAAGAGACUUCCCUUGGUAAAGAGACAUUCUACUCUACAAGCUCCCUCACCCUUUCAUAGAGUCUAUGUUGUUCAAUUUGGUAUUUCUCAAGUUUUAAAGACCAAUCACUGGAUCUUCUAUCCAACUACUUUUCCAUUAUUGAUUGUAACUCAUUCUUUUCUGUCUCCAAUCUUCGUGUCCAUGAAUCUAUUUCUGCCUGUAAUAUGCUAGCUUCUUCCUUAGCAGAAGCCCUUUCAGCAACUUGAUUCCAUAGCAUGCUUAAAACUUCAGAAGCCAUUUGUACCUUCUCCUUUGUCAAUCUUCUAAUAGUCUAAAUCAACACUGGAAUGCUAAGGUCUCUGCCAUAAGAAAUAUUUGUCAUUACUUUGGACAAGCAAAUGCAAAUUAAAACAUCAGUUUAAGUGUGAAAAAGAAAGCUAUAGCAAAAUGAUAUGCAUACCGGCUUGAAUCACGACCAGAUUUCUUAGGAUGAACUUUCUUACUAUGACCAUGGAGAGAUUUGCUCAGAUUCGUGAAAUUCUUUUUUCCUAACCCACUGUCAUAAAAGAAUCCAGAUGACAAUGAAACACUUCUCCUAGAAGAAACUUCCUUGGACUUUAAUGGUGGUGAAGGGGUCUUGUUUGCAUCAUUAGUUGAUGAUCAAAAAAAGAAGAAGUUGUUCUUCAUCAUCUCUAUGUAUGGAUACUGUACAUGAAUCAAAACUAGUGUCCAUGAGAUUUCAAAGGAUAAAGCAAAACACUCAUAAACAGCCACUCACAAAUCAUUAUCCAUUCAUGAAAAUACUGCAAGCUAACUAAAUACUUAUGAUACAAAGAAAAACAUCUCUCUUUCUACAUGCUUCUUCUUCAACAACAACAUACGUAACCCCUACCUUGGCAAGUAGAAAAUUUAUUUCCCAUAAAUCCUCGGCAAGGAAAGCAAAAACACGAGGAUAUUAACAACAGUAGCAAGUAUGAAAAUAGAGGUAUACGAUACAAAAAGUAGAAAAAAAAAUAUGUACUAAUACUACUACCAGAAGAGACAUGACGCGAAACUAUUUAGUACUAGUCUUCUACUGAAAAUAAAUAAAAUACCCCACAAACAAAUAGCCCAAGAACAAUUCAAAGAACUUAUCAAAUCCUUCUGAUAAAACAAAUAAUCAUGGUAAAUAAUUAAAAAAAAAAAAAGAGAAAUUACUGAAUCAAAGAGUUGAAAGAGUAAGAGCCGGCAAAAGGUUGUCAGAAUCUGUAGGAUUCUUGUCAUUUUUUCUUGAAAUGUAAAAAUAGCAAAGGACUAGAAUGGAGAAAACUUUAUUUCUGUGUCUUUCAUUCAUCAUCGUACAAUGCAUAUAUACAACUAACAAGGAUCUGUAAAUUGCAAGUAAAUAUUUACAAGGAUCUGUAUAUGGCAAGUAAAUAUUUACAAGGAUCCAUAAAUAUGACAAGUGAAUAUUUACAUACACAUAAUGAAAAACUUGAGAAAUACCCAUGAGAGAGAGAGAGAAGAAAAGUGUAACAAAUAUUUUGUGUUAUUCAAUGGCUAUAAAUAGCCAUAUGAGGUCAAAUUUUCCAUAUAAUAGAAAUAAGAUGUAAACUAUAAAUUAACUUUUUCAAAUUAGCACACAAAUUAACUUAAAUUAUGAAAUUAAAGAUAUUUAUUUUUUCAAAAUUUAACUUUUCCAUAUAAACAUCACUGAAUUGAUAUAAGCAAUAUUUUGAAACGUGAUAAAUUAAUUAAAUAACACAAAAAUAUUGUAAUAUUGUAUUUCUUUUAUCUCUAGAUCUUUUUUAAUACAUAAGAAAUACUAAAGUCAUACAAUAAUCUCCUUUCUUUUUAUAGUCCAAACUUACCAUUUAAAAAUCGUUUCAUUUGAAUUAAUAAGAUCAUAGUAGAUUGUACAAAAUCAGUUAAUAAAUGAUAUAUAUUUCCAUUAAAUAAAUAAAGUACGAUAUAAUUGUAAUAAGACUACACAAUCAACUAAUUAAUUUCACUUAAUUAGAUUAAAUUUUAUGAUCAUAAUAUAUAGACUAAAGUUCCUUAAAUUUAAUGUUGUAAAUUUCAAAAUACAUUUAUGGCUAAAGUAGUAGUCAAUGUUCGUUAUUUUUUUUAAUCAAUAUAUGUAUAUCAAUUAUAGAACUUUGCAUAUAUUCUUUAUUAAAAUAAUUGUCAAUAUUAAUUGAAUUUUACCAUAAUUUAAUCUAAUUAGUUUGAUAACAGUACAAUUAUUAUUAAUAUUAUAUAUUUUUUAACCAUAAAUUUGUCCUAAUUUUAUAGAUUAUUCUAUUUAGUUAAUCUACAAUUACAUAAAGGACUCAAAUAUGGAAACAAUUGAUAUUAAUUACCUUUAUAAUUUCAAAAAUUUAAUCCCAUGAAUUUCUCAUACUCUUAUAGUUUGAUUAUAGCAAAUUGAUAUUAAUUACCUUUAUAAUUUUGGGAAGAAUUUUUAAAAGUUAACGAUUAUUUUUUUCCUAAUUGUUGAUUUAUUUCUCAAAAAUUUCUUAUAAAUUUAUAAUUUGAUUGUAGUUAAUUGAUUAAUUAAUUAUCUUUUUAAUUUGCUAAAAACUCAAAUAAGGUACAAUUAUUUUUUCUCAAUUACAGAUUUUCUUAAAUUCAAUCUUUUAUUGUUUUACUAAAAUAGUUCAAAUUUAAUUGUUUUGAGGCAUGACAUCUUUUUGUCUAUAAAUCUUUUUUAAUACAUAAGAAAUGCUAAAGUNNNNNNNNNNNNNNNNNNNNNNNNNNNNNNNNNNNNNNNNNNNNNNNNNNNNNNNNNNNNNNNNNNNNNNNNNNNNNNNNNNNNNNNNNNNNNNNNNNNNNNNNNNNNNNNNNNNNNNNNNNNNNNNNNNNNNNNNNNNNNNNNNNNNNNNNNNNNNNNNNNNNNNNNNNNNNNNNNNNNNNNNNNNNNNNNNNNNNNNNNNNNNNNNNNNNNNNNNNNNNNNNNNNNNNNNNNNNNNNNNNNNNNNNNNNNNNNNNNNNNNNNNNNNNNNNNNNNNNNNNNNNNNNNNNNNNNNNNNNNNNNNNNNNNNNNNNNNNNNNNNNNNNNNNNNNNNNNNNNNNNNNNNNNNNNNNNNNNNNNNNNNNNNNNNNNNNNNNNNNNNNAUUUCAUUUGAAUUAAUAAGAUCAUAGUAGAUUGCACAAAAUCAAUCAAUUAAUUAUAUAUAUUUUUAUUAAAUAAAUGAUGUACGAAAUUGUUGUAAUAAAACUAUACAAUCAACUAAUUAAUUUCAAUUAAUUAGAAUCAAUUUUAUGAUCAUAAUAUAUAGACUCAAGAUCUUUAAAUUUAAUGUUUUAAAUUUUAAAAUAUAUUUAUGGCUAAAGUAGAAGUCAGUGUUCGUUGUUUUUGUAACCAAUAUAUGUAUAUCAAUUACGAAAAUUUGCAUAUAUUUUUUAUUAAAAUAAUUGUCAAUAUUAACUAAUUUUUAACUCAAUUUAAUGUAAUUAAUUUGAUAACAAUAAAAUUAUUAUUAAUAUUAUAUAUUUAUUUACCAUAAAUCAGUCCUAAUUUUAUAGCUUGAUUAUAGUUAAUUAAUCUAUAAUUACAUAAAGGGCUCAAAUAUGAAAACAAUUGAUAUUAAUUACCUUUAUAAUUUCGGCAAUUCAAUCCCAUGAAUUUCUCAUGUUUUUAAUAGAUUGAUUAUAUUAAAUUGAUAUCAAUUACCUUUUUAGUUUUGGGAAGAAUUUAAAAAAGGUAACGAUUAUUUUUUUUCCUAAUUACUGAUUUAUUUCUCAGAAAAUUCUUAUAUAUUCACAAUUAGAUUAUAGUUAAUUGAUUAUUUAAUUAUCUUUAUAAUUUUCUAAAAGCUCAAAUAAGGUAACAAUUAUUUUUUUCUAAAUUAAGGAUUUUCUUAUAUUCAAUCUUUUAUUGUUUUACUAAAAUAUUUCAAAUUUAAUUGUUUUGAGGGAUGACAACUUUUUGUAUCUAAAUCUUUUUUUAAUACAUAAGAAAUGCUAAAGGCAUACAAUAAUCUCCUUUCUUUUUAUAAUCCAAACUUACCAUUUACAAAUUAUUUCAUUUGAAUUAAUAAGAUCAUAGUAGCUUGCACAAAAUUAAUUUAUUAAUUAUAUGUAUUUUUUUAUAAAAAAUAAUGUACGACAUAAUUGUAAUAAAAUUACACAAUCAACUAAUUAAUUUCAAUUAAUUAGAAUCAAUUUUAUGAUCAUAAUAUAUAGACUCAAAUUCCUUAAAUUUAAUGUUGUAAAUUUUAAAAUAUAUUCAUGGCUAAAUUAAUAGUCAGUGUUCGUUGUUUUUUACCAAUAUAUGUAUAUCAAUUACGAAAAUUUGCAUAUAUUUUUUAUUAAAAUAAUUUCAAUAUUAACUGAUUUCUUUCUCAAUUUUGAUCUAAUUAAUUUUAUAACAAUAAAAUUAUUAUUAAUAUUAUAUAUUUAUUUACCAUAAAUCUAUCCUAAUUUUAUAGCUUAAUUAUAUUUAAUUAAUCUACAAUUACAUAAAGGACUCAAAUAUUGAAACAAUUGAUAUUAAUUACUUUUAUAAUUUUAAAAAUUUAAUCCCAUGAAUUUCACAUAUUCUUAUAGUUUGGUUAUAUCAAAUUUAUAGUAAUUACCUUUAUAAUUUUGGGAAGAAUUUAAAAAGGUAACGAUUAUUUCAUUUCCUAAUUACUGAUUUAUUUCUCAAAAAUUUCUUAUCAAUUCACAAUUUGAUUAAUUAAUUAUCUUUACAAUUUGCUAAAAACUCAAAUAAGGUGACAAUUAUUUCUUUUAUUAAUUAUGGAUUUUCUUAUAUUCAAUCUUUCAUUGUUUCACUAAAAUAGUUCAAAUUUAAUUGUUUUGAGGGAUGACAUAUUUUUGUCUAUAAAUCUUUUUUAAUACAUAAGAAAUGCUAAAGUCAUACAAUAACCACCUUUAUUUUUAUAAUCCAAACUAAUUGCAUAUUUGGAAUCCCCAGAACGCAGGCUUCAAGAAACACCUAUCAUCUUCGCAUUUAGAGGUACGUGGGGUUAUCCUAAAAUCUCAUAGGCCUUUAAAUUCAUGUUUUACAAUGGGGGUUUUAAAACUACGAUCAUGUUUUGAAUGUUUCUAUAAUAUUGAUUUGGCCUUUAGGCCUAUUUCCGCAGUGAUUUGACAUAUUAUAUAUGUAUAUGCAUGUGUUUUGAAAAGGUGUUAAUUUGAGAGCAUGAAUUAUAUGGAAUCCCUGUCUUGAUGUGAACUUGUUUUAUAUUUUCAUACGAUUUAAAUUGUUUGAAAACGUCUUGAAAAGCAUGAGAUGAAAUGUGUUGAGAAUUGAUAUGAUUUUGACUUGAAAACGAGAAGGCUAUUUGCGUUGAAACAUGUUGAAUACAAUGGUUGAAUGAGAAGAAUGAUGUGAUAUUGAUGGUAUGCAAGUCGGGUAUGACGAUACCCUACAGAAUAUGAUAUGUGAUUGAAUCAGAUGAAAUUUGAAUGCAUUGAUUUUACAUGAGAUAGGUGGAUGCCCGAAGAAGGCGUUUGAGUGUAAGGGAUCAUCACUGGAAACUGUGUUUGCCGACAUAGGAAUUUGGUACCCUGCUUUGUGAUCUUGCAUACCUGACUUUAUGUCAUUCCCAAGUUGGGACUAUAGUUAGGAGCCCUACUUUGUGAUCUUGUGCACAACCAUUAGGCCGAGACACCCUGUUGUGUAAUCUUGUGUGUCUUCCCCUCACUUAUACUCUAAUCUCGGUGGAAACCAAGGUUCAACAGUUGGUGUAAAUGUGAUAUGUAAGGUAUUCCACCUAGCUCAGCUGCAUUAAAUUGUUGUUGAAAACAAUUACAUUACGCCCAUGUGUUUUCAAAUGAUUUGAUGUGAAACUGCUUUAUAAUGGCUCUCAACUAUAUUUUGUAAAAAUAUUAUGUUUUGUUUUGAUAUCUCUGCGUACCGGUACUUUUGUAUUGACCCUCUUCCCUUCCAGGUUCGGAGGCACAGUCUAGGGGUCCAAAAAAUCAGUAGAUUCCUCAGACAGAUUUGCAGAGUCACUUGGUGAGCCUUCUAUAUUUCGGAAGGCCUGAUCUCUGGCAGUUUCAUUUAUCAUUUAUUAGUUUUGGAUCUACUGGGGGCCUUGUCCUAGUUUUCAGAUAGAUAUUUAUUUCAGUCAUAUAGUAGAGAUUUUGCAAACAUUAAUAGAGAUAUUGACUUGAGAUUAUGGGACAUUAUUCCCCGUUAUUGAUUUCAUAUGUUUCUUGACCAUGUUUCCGUAAUAUUAUUUAUCUUCCGUAUUUCUUUUAUCAUAUGAGUUAUGUACAUGAUUAUCAGACAAAUAAGGGUAUUUUGGGCCUUCAUGGUUCGGAAUGCUCGUCACAGCUAGGGCCCCAGUUUGGGUUGUGACAAACUUGGUAUCAGAGCACGGUUCAUGGUCCUAGGAUUUUUACAAAAUCACAUCGGGUAGAGUCUUAUUUAUGGGUGUGUAGCGCGCCACACUUAUAAGCAGGAGGAUACUAGGCGUUUAGGAAUGUCUCUCUUUCUUCAUGUUCCAAUUUGUGGAAUAGAGUCAAAAUGUUGCUAUUUCAUACUGUCAUUCGUGCUAUAGUGUCGCCCAUAUGAAGGUAAAGACAUCCCAAAUUCUUUCCUUACUCUGUUUUUCUUAGACAUGUCCCAUUAUUGGGGUGAUUCAAGUGCAAAAAGUUUAGAAUCUACAUGAUAUAGUCUUUUUCGAUUGUGUCAUAUAAGAAAAAAAAUUAUGCAAAGACUCGAGAGGAGUCUGUUGGUGCUUCAAUAUGUGUUGAUUCUGAUGUAAACAUUGAUCCUGAUGGAAUUGUGCUUUCCAGCUUAAGGUAUUAAGUGCAUCUAGUCCCUCCCAAAAAUCUUGAUACAGAUAUGGAUGGUGUAUAGCAGAAUGUUGGAACUGUAUUUCCACCCAAAUAGUAGCAUAAGUUAAAUUGUUGUUGUCAUGACCUAUCGGUAAUGAAAUUAGACCAAGAAGUUAGUGAUGUGAAGUCACAAAUUUAGAAGUCAGAGUGAGGGUUAUUUUUUGUGUAAAUGAAUAUUUCAGUUGAAUAACCGAUAUUUGAGGAUGAUUUACCCCUUUAUAGUGAUAAACUACUGUGGUAGCUAGUAGCACAUGUGGAUGGUAUGGUACUCCAUGGGGGAAGUAUUUUACUCUGAUUUUUAUUUAUACAGAGUAAGAUAGGUAUUAUUAGACCAUUAAAUAUUAUGUGUCAAUUUCCUAUCUCUUGUACUAUGUAAUAUUGUUAUCAUGGUGUUUUUGAAAAAAAAAAAAAUUUAAGUCUAGUGAAGCCAUGUGGGGAUCUUUCGAUUCACUAGCAUAGCUGUCUCAUGUAAUAUGUAAUCUUGUUAUCACGAUGUUUUUGGAAAAAAAAAUGUAAAAACUUUUUAAAGUCUAGUGAAGCCGUGUGGGCUCUUUCGAUUCACUAACAUAGUUGCCUUGUUAUUCAUCUCAUUUUUUGGUUCAAAAAUAUAAAAUUAGAGUCUAGUGAAGCCGUGUGAGGCCUAUUUUGAUUCACUAGCAACUUGUUGUUCUUUUGUUGGUUUAAUAUACGUAUGGCUGAAUCUGUUUGCAUAAGAUGGAGUUGGUAAAGGGGUGAUUCGUCCUUGUGAGUUAUUUUAGUAUAAUUUGAGGAAUUUGAAGGCAGUCUAAAUGUAUGCUUGAGUAAGUAAGUAUGAGGUGAGAAAUCCGCAUAAGUAGAUAAGAUCGUAUAGGGUUAUAAUAUCAGAUUAAGGUUGAUCAUGUCUAUUAUGUGACCUUACCACUUGACUUUUUUCGUUGGUAUUUGUAAACUAGUACUACUUAUGAGAAGGUAUGUAGCAAAUUAUGAGGUAUUUGGAUAGUACUAAAUGACUGGCAGAGAUUUUUCAAAGUUUUACAGGAGUUCUUGAAACUAUUUUCUAAAAAAUUAAGAGUACUUUGAAAAAAAUCUAUAUAAAUCUUUUACUUACUGAUUUCCUAGACAUCAAUUAGGACGGGGAGUCAGGGGUGGAAGUCCCAACAUGAUGAAAUACCUAAAAGAUGGCGAGGGCAAAUCAAGGAUAGUAGGAGGUCAACACGGAGUAGUUUCUUUCAAACUAAUCAUUUUUUGUGGAUGCAGGGAUCGAUACACAAAAUGAGCGUUUCUUUCGAAAAAUCCCCAAGCAAGUCGGGAGCCAUGAUAGAGCAUAUAAUGCUUAAUAACGGUACUUUUGGUAGCCUAAAAAUCGGCUCAACACCCAUUUAUUGACGACCUUUUGAAUUGUCCAUCUCAUUUCUUGAGAUCAUGGAGGACAAACAAAAGUGUCUUGUCUUCUUUACAAAUAUUGUAUUUAGAAUUUUUCUAAAAAAAAUAAUCGCUAGCAAAAGCAACUUUGUGUCUACUAAUCUUCUACCUUGAGUAUAGGUACAUGCAGAAAGCAAGACCUUGACAAAUGAUUUCAGGAGAAACUAUUUUUAAUUUACCGAAAGAACCAUUGCAUGUUAUUGCCAAGAGGUCCAUUGCAUAUCAUCGUUAUUCAAUAUCUGUUCACGCGCUAGAUACAACGCUGGCAUCGAGGAUAUCAUUAGCAUUUAAUAUAUCCAUUGACACAAAAGACACAAUGCUGGCGUCAAGGAUAUCAUCAUCAUUCAAUAUCUAUUGACGCGCUAGACACAACACUGGCGUCGAGGAUAUCAUCAGCAUUCAAUAUAUCUGUUGACACGCAAGACACAACACUCGCGUUAAGGAUAUUAUCAUCUUUCAAUAUUUUUUGAUGCGCUAGACAAUGCUGGCAUCGAGGAUAUCAUCAGCAUUCAAUAUAUCUGUUAACACACAAGACACAACGCUGGCAUCGAGGAUAUCAUCAUCAUUCAAUAUUUGUUGACGCACUAGACACAACGCUGGCAUCGAAGAUAUCAUCAUUAUUAUAUAUCUGUUAACACACAAGACACAAUGCUGGCAUCGAGGAUAUCAUCAUUAUGCAAUAUCUGUUGACAUGGAAGACACAAUGCUGGCAUCGAGGAUAUCAUCAUCAUGCAAUAUCUGUUGACAUGCAAGACACAAUGCUCGCGUCGAGGAUAUCAUCAUCAUGUAAUAUCUGUUGAUGCGUAAGACAUAACACUGUCAUCAAGGAUAUCAUCAUCAUUUUAUAUUUGUUGACACGCAAGAUAUAAAUGCUGGCAUCGAGGACAUCUUAUCAUUUUAUAAAUCAGUAUAUGAAUGCAUCGAGAGCAUACGAUUUGAAGGGACACCUUUAAGUCGCUAUCUAAGGAUGAAUGUAUAUAAGAUUUCUUGGAAAUUAACAAUUUGAGGGUCAUAUAUAAGUCAUAUUAUUUGAAAUAGGAUAGUGUGCAAGAUCACCUAUAAUUUGAUAGCCGGUAGGUCAUCCGUAAGCCACAACAACCUCCUAAUCGGAUAGUGUGCAAGAUCACCCAAAAAUCGAUAGUUCAAAUCCAUAAGUCGAAACUAAAUCCUUACCGGAGAAUAUGGAAGAUUAUCAAAUUGAUACGUCCAAGGAUUCUCUAUAAGCCGUGUCAUAUCUAAGAUCGAUUAUGUGCAGGAUUACCCAAAGACUAAUAAUUUGAGGGAUUAUCUAUAAGUCAUAUUUUAUCCAAGGUCGGAUGAUGUGCAGGAACACCUGAAAGAUAGCGAUUGGAGGGAUAUCUGUAAGCCAUCUCUUAUUCAAAGUAUGAUAAUGUGCAGGAUUACCUAAAAGCUAGAAAUCAAAAGGAUAUCUGUAAUUCACCUCGUAUCCAACAUCAAAUAAUGCGUAAGAUUAUCCAAAGAUUGAUAAUUUAAAGGAAAUUUAUAAAUUGAUCAUCGGCUAUAAAUGGUGAGAUUAUCCAAAGGGUUGCCACACCAGCACAAGACUACACGGUUGUAGAGACUGUUCUGCAUAAAGUAUCACUGGUGUCCAAAAUGGGCACCCACUUUGAAGACAUAUUCAACCGACAAAUGUCAUAAUUAUACAACAACCAAGAGGGUUGUUGUGUUUGGUCUUGUGGUUUAUUUCAUUCCAAACAGGUACAUGAAGAGAUGACUCCGCUUUUCAAGCCACAACUCAUGUGCAGAUAUGGUAAAAGACUGCAUACCUCUUUAGUGAAUUAUGUUUAGCACUAACACUUUUUGCUUGAAGCAUUGUCAAGAGUAUCCGAGAGGAUGAAUAUCUCAAAUGAACACCACAGGUGCAUAUGACUUCAAAUAAGAUGCAACACCCGAAUCCAACCCGUUUUCUUUUUCCUCUUUAUGAUCACGCAUGUUCCAUGAGAAUCCAUACGAGAAGAUGUCGAGAAUCUUCUAGAAACACACUUAGGUGUCUCAUCCAACGUUCAAAUCCCAAAAUUCUCGGAUAGAGGUUUACGAAUUCGUACAUAGAUGGAGUAUUUUCAUUGGCUUGUGAAGAUUAUUCCCUUUCCACCAAUUUCUAUUGGCGACUUUUUGGAAUUUCGUUCAAGAAAAUCAAAAUAGAGGUACAGUUCGUUAGGGUCCGGAUCUUUUGAAUUUCAAAAAUGAACCCUCAAUUUCCUUCUAUAAGUAGCUCUCUUUAGAGAAAGAAAAAGGGAUUUUUUUGGGGAUUUUGGAAUUUUUUUCACUGGCCUCUCCUUUCCUUUAUGGGUUCUCCUCUUCUUUCUCUUUGGAGUUCAAAAUUUUAGAGGCAAAGAGUGUUCAAAAGUUUUGGGUUGAAAAUUUAGGGUUAGAGAAAAUCUUCAAAAAUUCAGAAAUACACAAAAAAAAAAAGGGUUAGAAAGGGGGCUCUCAGAGGGAAAAAAUAUUCUCUUUACGCCUAAGAAACAUACAUUCUUAGGAGGUGCAUCUGAACUGUCGAAGCAGUUGUGAGUUUUUCAGUGGUCGGAAUCCUAUAAUCAGCUUGUUAUCCCAUUUUGCUGCCCCAAAAGAGGUAAAUACACCUUUCUUUUUAAUUUUGUUGUGGUUAUCAUUUUCUUCUUCGUGGUUCCACUUCUGUUUGCUGGGAAUGACUGCUGUAGAGGCCUGGAAGGCAUAGGAUUUUCAUGUUUGAUAUAUUGUUCUACUAAAAAACUCAUUAUUGCCCGUGUUUGAUUGGUUGUCGUUCAUGCUUGAUCUCUCUUAUUUUAUUUUGUUUGAAUGUUACAGUUAGCUUUAAUGCUUCGACUUUAGAAACUAUUUUGCUGGUCUCAUAUUCGAUGUUUCUUUGUAGUUCAUAGAGUAGGAGAAUAAAAUCUUUACGUAUUUUCUAAAUUCAAAAAAAUGUUCAAAGAAUAGAUAUUAGGCAGCCUGUUCGCAUAUCUUUUUCACUCAAACGCAGGAAAUUGUUAUAAAUAAGAACUAGAAUGUUAUUUUCUUUCGACUUGCCACUUUAGAUGUACAAUAGUCUUAUUUUAUUCUAAAGUUUAUUUUAAAAUAUGAGAGUGGACCAUAGGGAUGAAUUAUGUUUUCUUCAUGGCUAAUUCAAUUUGCCGUAAUUGACUCAUGAGAACAAAUUAAAGUUUGACGGGNNNNNNNNNNNNNNNNNNNNNNNNNNNNNNNNNNNNNNNNNNNNNNNNNNNNNNNNNNNNNNNNNNNNNNNNNNNNNNNNNNNNNNNNNNNNNNNNNNNNNNNNNNNNNNNNNNNNNNNNNNNNNNNNNNNNNNNNNNNNNNNNNNNNNNNNNNNNNNNNNNNNNNNNNNNNNNNNNNNNNNNNNNNNNNNNNNNNNNNNNNNNNNNNNNNNNNNNNNNNNNNNNNNNNNNNNNNNNNNNNNNNNNNNNNNNNNNNNNNNNNNNNNNNNNNNNNNNNNNNNNNNNNNNNNNNNNNNNNNNNNNNNNNNNNNNNNNNNNNNNNNNNNNNNNNNNNNNNNNNNNNNNNNNNNNNNNNNNNNNNNNNNNNNNNNNNNNNNNNNNNNNNNNNNNNNNNNNNNNNNNNNNNNNNNNNNNNNNNNNNNNNNNNNNNNNNNNNNNNNNNNNNNNNNNNNNNNNNNNNNNNNNNNNAAUGCUAUGGCUUAUUAAUUGUUAAAAUCUUGGACGUAUGUUAAUUUCUUCAUUCCUUUCUUUUCAUUCACCCCCUUGAAGUUCAAAUGGGCCCCUUCUCUCUUGUCAUUUCAUAAAUGGGCCAAUGAGGCCUAUCCUUCCGAGUUAAUCCCAAAAGAAAAUCCAAGAAUCCAUCACAUGGUGUAUGAAUACGAGGAAUCGAAAGAAGAAUGGGUUAAAGUUCCAUCUUUGAAGCGGCAAAGGGGACUUGAAAAUCUCGUUAUUUCUUCUUUAUUAAUUUAUUUAUCCAUUGUUUCCAUUAUUUAUUUAUUUACUUAUUUAUAUUUUUGUUUAUUUAGUGAAUUAUUUAUUUAUUCAUUUGGGCCUCGAAGCCAAAGUUGUAAAUUUAAAAUAGGUGGAACGAGACUUGAGCUAUUUGCUUACUUGUUUUACGUGUGUUUUACGAACCUAGUAAAAUCCUUAGUCAAGUCGCUAAAAAACUGGUUUUGUAUAAACACCAAAAUAUUUCUAAAAUUGCUUUUCUUUUCAAAAAAUAAACUUUUUCAAAGUUAAUCAAAAGACGAUUUUCAAACAAUCCGGAUAACCAUAAGUUAGCGAACAUUUUAGAUGCCUAAUACCUUCCUAAAACGUUAAUAGGAACUGCUUAUCUAGAAUCUCUAACUUAAAACGAUUUUUCUAUUUUGAAUCGUUUGCAGUAACUCUCUAACGGUUUCUUAAUUCCUUUUCAAAAUUAAGUGGCGACUCUCAAAAAGUCAAAAAUUCCGCAAAACAAUAUCAACCACAAUCACAUCCCCACAUCUACUACCCCCACCCGAAAGUAGCAGAAGAAUAAAGGUUUGUAGUAAUUCAAUCCUCUUGACGCUUGCGCUCCUUCUCUUUUAGUUCAUUAACAAAUUUGUUAAAUAUUUCAAGCAGCAAGCCCUUAUCACCCAUUAUUCUGUAAAAUAAUAACAGCAAAGAAAUUCACAUUCAAUAGAUUACGACAUAAUGAGAAUCAUGAGAUUAUGAAUAAAAAAGUAAAAAUCCAGAGCAUUUCAUUUUAUAGCCAAAGAGGCUAGACAAAUUAAAACUAGAGAUUUAGCAGCAUACUUCAUCAGAACCGUGAAACAAUCACAAAUGCCAGAAAUUAAAAAACUAAAACAAUCACAAAUGUCAUAAAUUUAAAAACUAACUGCUAGACCUAUUAACUGCUAGAUAUCAAAACAAGAUAACCCUUGCAAUUCUCUCUUCCCACAUACAUAGAUUAUACGCCAUGACCAUAAAUAACCUCCAAAAUCCAAAUGAUAUAUGAAGAAUAUCCUCAUUACAAAAUAGAAAAUGAUCGUUGAUAUCAUCCAGUUAUGUUGUUUAACCAGUUUCGUAGAGUAAAACUCUUAUCCACUAACUGUAAAAACAGAAAACUACAAGGCAAAUUUCUUUGAAUUAAGCAACUUAAUAUAUGUACGGUAGGUGUAAUAUUAAACACCGCCGUCCAGGAAAUAAAAACUAAGGAAAAUGGUACCAAAACUGAAGAAUUGGAAGCAAAAGCUAACAUCAAAUAUUUGAUCAAUGUGGUCCUCGUCUUUAUUCUUGAAGGUUUCAGGCUUACUUGCUAACCGACACACUACUAUUCUAUUAACUCUAUUACAAGAAGAUCCAAAUUUAAUGUGGGAUAGGUUAUGGUUGAUACUAAAUAAAAAUGCCACUAACCACAGUUGACUACCUACGAGUUGCCAAUUUAGCAAUCACAAACUGACCGAAUUCCAGUGAAACAUAACAUGGAAGUACUACUAAUGCUUUUGCACUCAAUCCACUCAUCUUAUGCAGGACCUGUCCCAAAGACAAAAAGGGGACAAAUACAUAGAAAUCCAUUUAGUGACUGGGGUACUUCAAUUUUCACAACAUUUAAUUCAACAUGGGUCGAUGUGAAACAGUAUACAGUGCUUAGCCAUAAUUAGACCUUUAAGUUGGUAUCUGUCAUUAGUGGAGAGCUAAUAUACUUGUCGAUUGCAACCUUAAAAUCAUCAAGCGUCCAGGCUGAUGUCAAUCCAAUCUGAAAGUAGAGACGGCUCAGCCAAAAUAUUAGGUACUAACUGAAGCACAACAAAGGUUAAAAUGAAGAGUGGUGAUUACCUCGACCAUCCUAAUUGCAUCUUUAAUUUGUGACUUGUGAUCAAGAUACUGAAGCAACAUACAAGUAACACAAAUUCAGAAUGCUUAUAAGUAACAAAAAUAGGAUACCAAAUGGAGCUUUGUCCAUGCAUUUGAGUUACCAUAAAGUUUAUAAAUUACAAGCAGGGUGAUGGGGAUGAAAUUUCUUUCAUGAAUACCAACAUUUCUCCACUUGUUCAAAGUCAUCUACAAUAUCACAAGACACUUGACACAUAAACUUAAUUGCACUGAUCAGGUUAAAUUGAAGGAAAAAUCAAGCACCCCUGUUUGGAUAAUAGAAAAAAAGUGAAUAAAUAAAAAUGGAUAGCAUCUCUGUUAACAGCGCUUUCGUUAUAUUUACUUAAUAAGAAUCAUUUAUGCACACAAACAGUAAUACAAACUUUAAAGAUAGAAGUUGACAUCUUUAUCUUACAAGGGAAAAAGAAAAGAUUUUCCGCAUCUGAGUUUAUGUAUAACUCUCACCAUCCCAUAGCAAGAGCCUAACUCAAGAAAACAUUACCAAAUUCAAUCACUGAAUAAGAGUACGAACAAGAUCAUUACCAUGCUAGGAUACCAGGUAAACUCCCUCUUUCAUCAAGCAAGGAGAUAAAUGCUAAUAACAUUUGAUCAUUCAACUUCAAUUCUUUUCGGAAAGGGCAGAGGAUGAAACAAUAUAUCGUUUAGUUAGGCGCAAGUGUGUAUUACGGCAAAAAAAAAUCAUAGUGAGGGAGAUGCAACUUUAUUUAGAGAAACAGAGAUGCUCUCAGGUUCUUUUUCCGAGGCUAAUCUUUUCUAAGCCUUUACUUUCAUUACAUCUCAACUACCUCUUCAGAGGCGAAUUCUGGCACUAAGUUUAUUUAGUCCAAUUUAUAUGGUUGAUAACACAAUAUUUUGAAUUAGGUUUUAAGUUGCACGAUAUCAUCCGAAGUUAAAUCAAAACUGGGGUGUGGUACAAAUGGACAAAACAUGGUCGAAACUUGACCAGACAAACUACUUUCAGGUCUCAUUUGUUUGCACUUAUUGGAUUUAUGAACCUGUUCAGACCUCAAACCAUUAAGUGCAUUUAUUUUUUUAGGAUUUUAGCUCUUAAUAGGUCUGAGUAGGUCUUAAUCAUUCAGAUGUGGAACCAAGUCUAAAUAUCAUUUACAGAUAUUCUUGUGUAGGAUAAAAUUCACCACUAC
rnacentral:lncRNA from 1 species